AGACUCAUUAUGGAACACUUUCAUGAGUAUUUGGAUACUGAACAACCUUUUUGGGCAACUGAAGUCUACAUAUGAAACAUAAAAAAAUUCAAAGUGUAUAGGGUGCUCAAUGAGAAGCUACACAGGUCUAUCCUCUGUCUUUGCAUGGCCGUGUGUGCAUCCUAAUUGCAUCAAUCAACUAUCCAUGAAAUCGUGUACCUGUUUGAAUGUAAGCUGUUUGGAAGAGACUACAUUAGUUUCAGUUAAUUUGGUGUUUCUUUCCAUAUAAUUCUUCUUUCCUUUUUCCUUUUGCCACAACUUCAGUCCAUAUAAUCCAGUGUUUUGCAUUGAUGAUACGGGUGGCAAAUUUAAUCCUUGAGAAGGACACAAAUGAUUUGACCAGUUUGAUGCGUAUCCAUCCAUUAGGCUGAAGGUUUCUCUACUUUGCUUAUUGAACCAAGAUUUCCAUGUAAGGUAUGCCUAUGACACCGAAAUAACAACUUUUCCACAGCAUAAGUUUCUAUGUUUGUAUCAUAAUAUCGCAUAAGUUAUGAAGUAAACGUAACACCUCGGAUUUCGUGCCCAUGAAUAUUCAGUAUGUAGCAUAGAAAACCAGAUUGAAAUUUAAGUUCCAGGUUCCCACGGAAUGGUUCAUGAGUUGUGAACCAGGCUUGUGGAACCACUAGCUCGUGGAAUCCAUCCUAGUCCUCUAGGUUUGUCACACCCCGAGCUUAGACCUUGGGCGGAACCGGCACUCGGUAUCAUUAUAGGCCCGAGGGCGUACCCAUAACAUGACAUUAGAUAUGAGCAUACAUCUAGACAUGAGCGGAAACAUUAGUAUAAACACAUUUGAAGAGACAAGUCUUGUAAAAGAAACACUUGGCAUAAAUGUAAAUCAUAGUACUAAAAUCACUGACAAAGGACACGAAGGUCCAAAAUGAAGCAUAACUAACUGUCUAUAUAUCUAUGAAACAUCUAGAUAUAACUGAGUAAUGUCAAAUGGGAGGUGCCCAUUGAAUUCUGUUCAUGAGUUGCAGCUCAAAUAAAUUCUCACUGAUUGUUUUUAUGGAUUCAACUAGGAGGUUGCUGUUGUACAAAAACAAAUUGCAUGUGCCACCUCACUCUCGUGCUAGCCAAGUAUUAAACUUGGGUCGAAGUAUGCUCAAGAACUAUUGUAGCAGUAUCCGCUGCGAAGGACCUAGGACUUGAAUGGAUUGACCAGUUGGAGGGACAUCUGUCCAUUAGGUUGAAGGAUUCUCUAUUCUGCUUAUUGAACCAACCUUUCCAUGUAAGCUUCUUCUAAAAUUGUUAGUCUCCUACAUUCCUUGUUUUUUUCCUUAUUGUUUUUAUUGCUCACUUACUUCUAUAAAGUUAGUCUGAUGCAAUAUAUCUCAAAUUAUUCAAAUGUUUUGUUUGUUUUGCACGAGUAUCCUUCAAUAAAGAGUUUAUCACUUAAUCCCCGAAUGUAGUAUUCUUCAUUACAAAGUAUAAUGGAAGUUAUUAAGUGGUAUGGUUCUUGAAUAAGAUAACUGAUCAUUCUCUUCAAGUACAGAGAAGUAAUAGCUUGUCAUAACAGGUCUAUUACAGUUUUAUCUUGCGUAAGAGGAGGUGGACCAUUACACGGAAAGCCACUAACGUAGGCUUUGAUGCAAGACAGAGUUCCUUUUGAACCGAAAUGUGACUUCUACUGAUAGUAGAAGCUUCUCCAGUUUUUGUUGGCCGUCUUCAACAGUAUUUCCUGUUUAAUUUUCAAGGGUCAGAUUGGAACAUUUCGCUUCAGUGAUGACUGUGGUUGCACGAAGCUUGAAAGUUCAAGGUAAGUUAGUUUUUGUCCAUAAAAGAUAGCAAAUGGUGUCAAUACUUUUUUCUCUGGAAUGGUUUUCUUUUUCCUCUAAAUGCUGUUUUUAAAUCAUCUCACUUAUCUAUAUCUCGUUUACUUUUCUUAGUAUAUUGAAAACUCUCAAGGAACUAUUUCCAUGUCCAUAUAUGGUAGAAAUGUGUAAAACUUUCUUAAUAGGCUCAUAAAAGAAUAACUUUUCUGCAACGCUGGUUUUAUUUUCAUGCUUUAGACAGUAGAACUUUUAUGAAUAUAUGACACACUUGUCAUUGCUUUCACUUCACAGGACAAUUUCUCCGUUCAUUAAACUUUCGUCAUUGAAGGACUUCAACAGAGAUAGUUGUCAUGAAUCAUUUAGCAAAGAAUGCCCCAUUGGCUCUUAAAAUGUCCUUAGCAACAUCUGUUCAUCUUAACAGGUCUUGCUUUCUCCUUUUUUUAGUGGUCACUUGUAAUGAUCUGCUUCUCCAUUUUCCCAAGGAGGAAACGUGUGCCAAAACAGACUUUUUAACAUUUCCUGGAUGAUUUCAGAUUCAUGUUUGAAACACCAGCAUGGACCUCGUCGAAAUGCUACUUAUGUAAUUUAGACUCUCAGGAAGUUUGCUUCAAAAUAGUUAUUACUAUAUAAACAUUACCCUUUUGUUUUACUUAUUUACUAUUUCUUAAUAUUUAAGUAUUUUAGACGAAGAAAAGUUCAUAUAACUUGUAAUAAUGUCAGUUGAAGUUUGUAUUAAUUUAAUUUUUAUUAUUUAUUUAAUAGCUAAUUUUAUGAGAUAAAUAUUUUCAUUAUUGCAAAUAUUUAUUUAUAUUUGGGUAAGUAUUUGUAUUUAAAUGAAAGUAUUAUUUAUGCCACAAAUGUAUUAUCAGGUUAGCGAGAUCUUCUAACUUCAAAAUGUAUUAUUUUAAAAUGUUUCGAGUUUUUUUUUUUUUAAAAAAACUCACAACAGAUGUGAAAAUAUGUGAAUAUAUAAAAUAUAGUUGAUCUCUUCACAAGUUCAAAUGACAUCUAAAGAAUUUAACGUAGAAUACACAUGCAAAGCACAUCUGGUUAGAUGACAACAAAAAUACAAAACAAAUAUCGUCUAUAAGGUAAUAUUAGUGAGAUAAGACUAAUUACAUAAUUGAACCUCAUCAAAUUGAAAUAAAUCUAUGCAUAAUUGCAUUUAACUAAUAAAAGUUUUCAUUGAUCAUCUUCAUAAAUUUGCGUGAAGAAAAGAUAUAUAUGACGAUCCACAUUGAACAUUCACAAAAGAAUCUGCAAUAUUAUUUUUUACUAAGCUUAUUAUUCAAAUCUUAAUUUGCUUAAAUACGCAAUACUAUUUACUAUAACACAUAUUUUUGAAAUUGGUAAUCACGUGCAAUGCAUGUGUCAGAAAACUAGUAUAUAUAUAACAUGAGGAAGCAAUAGUUAUUCAUAGCAUGAAAAAAUGUAUCAAAUAAGAUAAUUAAUACACUGUAAGAUGCAUGAUCUUGUGCAUGAUUUGGCUGGAGAUAUUUUAAAGUCUAAACUAUUUGAUCAAAAGAGUGUAGGAGGAGAAAAUCUUUCUCAAGUCCGAUACUUUGGAUGGGACUCACCAAGUGAUAAAAUAGAUAAGAUAAACGAGCAUGGACGUUUGUGCACAUUUUUCUGUAAAAGAAAUAUAUCUGAAGAUAUGCUGUUGAGCUUUCAGUUCUUGAGAGUUAUAAAUUUGUCCAGGUCAGGCAUUGAGGUGUUGUCAGCCAAAAUCGGCAAGCUAAUAUACUUGAGAUAUCUUGAUCUCUCCAGUACUGAGAUCAAAGACUUGCCCAACUCCGUUUGCAAGCUCUACAAUUUGCAAACAUUUAGAGUCAAUGGCUGUUCUUCACUGAGGAAGCUUCCGGAAGAAAUGGCAAAUAUGAAAAGUUUGAGACACAUAUAUUACCAAUCAGAAAUUGAUUAUCAGUUUCAGAUGCCACUUAAUAUGGGGAAAUUGAUCAGUCUUCAGACGCUACAAUUUUUCUACGUAGGUGUAGAGAAAGGUCGUCAAAUAGAAGAAUUAGGUCGUUUGAAAAACCUUAGAGGUGAAUUAACAAUCAAAUGUCUACAAUUAGUCGGCAAUAAAGAAGAGGCUCAAACAGCAUAUUUACAGGAGAAACCAAAUAUCUACAAGCUGGUGUAUUUAUGGUCCCAUGAUGAAUCAGAAGGCUGUGAGAUCAAUGAUGAGCAUGUGUUGUAUGGUCUUCAACCACAUCCUAACUUGAAAACCUUAGUAGUGGAGAACUAUUGGGGGACUAUAUUUCCUUCAUGGUUCAGUGAAGAAUUGCUGCCAAAUUUGGUCAUGUUGAAAUUAAGUGGUUGCAAGAGGUGCAAAGAUAUUCCAUCGCUUGGUCAACUGAAGUUCCUUAGGCAUCUUGAGAUGAUUGGAUUCAUUGAAUUGGAAUGCAUUGGACCUACAUUUUAUGGUGUUGAUAAUGGAUCAAGCAGCAAUAAUGGCAAUAUCCAAGUGUUCCCGUCAUUGAAAGAACUAGUAUUGAAGGAUAUGCAUAGGCUUAUAGAGUGGAAGGGAGAUGAAGUUGGAGUAAGACUGUUUCCUGGGCUUGAGAGGUUGACGAUUACAGAGUGUCCACUGUUAAAAAGUGCUCCAACUCAAUUGGAAACCCUGCAUGAAUUAGAAAUUGAAAGAGUUGACAGUGAAAUGCCAUUGUUGAACUUGUGCAGCAACUUAACAUGUCUUGUGGAUCUUUCUGUCAGUGACGUGAAAGAGCUCACUUGUCUACCUGAUGAGAUGCUACGCAACAAUGCUUCUCUUCAACGCCUAUGUAUCUCAGCCUGCAGAGAGUUUCAUGAAUUACCACAGAGCUUGUACAAUCUCCAUUCCCUUAAGAGCUUAGGAAUAGCCUUGUGCCCCAAUUUCAGUUCUUUUCCGGUUCCCAGUGGAGAGAAUUAUUUAUCUUCCCUCCAAAGGCUUCAGUUACUUUAUUGUGAUGGAUUGACCAGUUUACCAAAUGGAAUGCUAGAACAAUGUCGGUCUCUAAAGAUUUUGAGGGUCAGCAACUGUAAGAACUUGGUUUCCUUCCCUUUACAUGUAUGGGAAAUGCCUUCACUUUCCAUUUUGGAUAUGUCAGAUUGUCCCAAAUUGAUUAGUCUACCCACAGGAGGCCUUCACCGUCUCACUGGGUUACGGCAUUUGAAAAUUGGUCCUUUCUCAGAGAUGGUGGAUUUUGAGGCAUUCCAAUUGUUUUUUAAUGGCAUUCAGCAGCUGUUGUUCCUUCGUACAUUGAGGGUGUACGGACAUGGGCACUGGGAUUCUCUGCCCUAUCAGCUUAUGCAACUCUCUUCUCUAAUUGAGCUCGAAUUAAGUGAUUUCAGUAUCGAGGAUCUUCCUCAUAGUCUUUGCAAUCUUACUUCUCUUGAAACAUUACAUCUAGAGGGGUGCAAACGGCUACAACAUGUGGACUUCAGAGGUGCCAUGCCCAAAUUACAUUAUCUUGAGAUCUAUUGUUGUCCAUUGUUAGAAUCUCUGUCGGAUGGACUCAGCAACCUUGUUUGUUUGGAAACGUUAAUUUUUUGGAACUGCGAAAUACUAGAGCGUCUGCCAUCCAGAGAUGUCAUGCAAAGCCUCACGAAAUUACAGUACCUGGAAAUUAAAGACUGCCCACAGUUAGAAGAAAGUUGCACCAAUUGGAGUAGCCCAAACUCCCAGUGGUCCAACAUUUCCCAUAUUCCAAAAAUUAAAGUAGGCUGGAGGAUAAUCCAGGAUAGACGUAAGUCUCUGUUUCUCUUUCACUUUCUGAGUCCAUUUUUUAAAUAUUAUUUUCUACGAGUUCCAGAAAAAAAGCUUUGUAUGUGAUUUUUUUUUUCCUGCAACAUUUUGACGUUAAAAAAUGCAAAAUUAACAAUCAAGUGCAUCUGUGCUAUGCUUUCAACAUUCUGCGUGUCCACUUGAACCGAAUUGUUCUUCUUCUAAUUCUUCAAGUAUGGUAUAUCUUGCUAUGCUUUAAUCAUGUAAUUUAUGUUUUUUUUUCCUUAUAGGUUACUAGUUUCAAGGUCAUGCACUCAUGCUAGAACGUCGCUGUGGCAAAUCAAGCUAAAUCCCAUGAGCGGCAGGCAAUUACGUUAGGUAAAUUUUCAUUUAGAAUUUAUAGGCACUUUGUAAUCUACUUAUUUUUUGGGAACCAAUUUUCGGAGGUCUAUGCUGAUGAAUACAAUAUUACCUUUCCUAAAAGAAAAGUUUAAUCAUGAAAAAAUUAUGUUUCUUCUCAUAGGUUACUAGGUGAAUAAGUAAUUUAUUAUUUACUUAUUGGUGAAACGCUAGAGGUAACAGAACCAUUUCUUUCAGAAAUCCACUUACAUAAGCUUUGAUGCAAGACAUAUUUCCUUUUGGUCCGAAAUGUGACUUGUACUGAUGGUAGAAGCUUCUUCAUUUUUUGUUGACCGUCUUCAACAGUAUUUCCUUUUAAUUUUCAGGGGACAGAUAGGAACAUUUCGCUUCAGUGACUGUGGUUGCAUGAAGCUUGAAAGUUCAAGGUAAGUGAAUUUUUUGUCCAUAAAGAUAGCAAAUGGUGUCAAUACUUUUUUCUCUGGAAUGGAUUUUCUUUUUCCUCUAAAUGUUGUUUUUAAAUCAUCUCACUUAUCUAAAAUCUCGUUUACUUUUCUUAGUAUAUUGAAAACUCUCAAGGAACUAUUUCCAUGUCCACAUAUGGUAGAAAUCUAUAUAAGUUUGUUAAUAGGCUCAUAAAAGAAUAAUCUUUUCUGCAACGCUGGUUUUAUUUUCAUGCUUUAGACAGUAGAACUUUUAUGAAUAUAUGACACACUUCUCAUUACUUUCACUUCACAGGCCAAUUUCUCCGUUCAUUAAAGCUUCCGUGAAUGAAGGACUUCAACAAAGAUAGUUGUCAUGAAUCUUAUAGCAAAGAGUGUCCCAUUAGCAGUAUCUGUUCAUCUUAAACAGGUUUGGCUUUCUCUUUUUUUUAGUGGUUACUUGUAAUGAUCGAUCUGCUUCUCUAUUCUUCCAAGGAGGAAACAUGUGCCAAAACUGACUUUUUACCAUUUCCCGUGUUCCAGAUUCAUGUUUGAAAUACCAUCAUGGACCUCGUCGAAAUGCUACUUGUGUUAGAUGUGUUUCAAUGUCAUAAUUGGCAAGGGAAAUUGCAUUCCGUAAACUCGUUUGCAUUUGGCUGAAUUGGAUUGGAGAUAUCAUUUCCUUGAAUGUACGAAAUCCCAGAAAAGUGAAAUUAGUUGAGCUUGAUGUUGGUCCAAUUCUAAACUAAAUUAACUGGCACUGUCGAAAGAGCAACUUAUGUCUUGUGAUUUUUAUUUUACUGGUAUGUGAGACGUGCAUUACACGUUUAUCCCAAAAUACUUUAUACAAAUUUUGUAUUGUAAAUAAUAAAUUUAAAUGACACAUAUAUUAUUGAAUUUUCUAUGUGUCAUAAAAUAAAAAUCAAAGCAUACAAAAUAAAAGUAACCACUCAUAAAUUGAGGUUAGAAAAUCUUGCAAAUUUGAUGCUACAUAGCACAUAUAUAGUAUUUUAAUUUAAAGAUAAAUACAUAUUAUAAUAGUAAAAGUAUUUAAAUCGUGAAAUUAACUAUUAUGCAUGAAAAAUAAAAACUAAAUCGAUACAUAUAUAUUGAAUUGCAUCUUCUUCUUUUUUUACCAUAAUUUCAAUAUUAACGCUUUCCCUCUUCUUCUUUUUUUUCUUUUGAAAUGAUUUUUUUAGGAAGCCUAGGAUCAUCCAUUAACUGUUGUCUCCGAUGAUGACAGGAGUCUUCUGAACAAAAUUGUUGAGUUCAAUUUGAUUAGUUUAAUUUCCGUGUUUAAUUAGUUGGAUCAUAACAAACCAUCAGUUGAUAGUAGAGUGGUGGACACCCAGAGAAGACCAAUUUUGAUUGGCACUGGGUUUGUAUGCUAAGGCUUCCCCUCCAGCCCUAAAAUAAUGAAACCACCAAGAACCAUAUGAGUCACUACACCUAUUAGUAUAAAUAUAUACAUGUCCGCUUCUUUUUUCCUUCCACAUAUUCCUCAUUUGCAUCUUAAUUUUUUUAGUUAUUAUUGAAGAUUUUUGUUUGUGCUUAUGAGUUUCAUGUUAUAUUUUUCUUUUUGGAAAAGGGCCUAAAAUACCCUUGAACUAUUGAAAAUGGUACAAAAUUACCCUCCAUCAACCUAUUGGCUUCCAAAUUAUUUUCUUUUCCUGGUUAAGUUUGAUACUAAAAUUAAAAUUCAUAAAAUAAAUUCAUUUUUUCAUUAAGUUGUAUUAAUUUAAUAGGAUAGUGACUUAAAAUUUUAUUUUUUAGAGGUCAAGAAAUUGAGUUAUUUUUUAUUGAACCACUUUCAUUUACUAUCUUGAAUAUUUUAGUAGCUUUAAAGAAAUUAUUUUAAUAAGUAACGUUCUAUCACUCUUAUAACAUGUAAAAAUUAAAAUUGAAUUUAAACCCACAUAAAAUCACAUAUACCCGCUGUAGACACCCAAUUUUGACCCUCCCCGAUAAUAAUUAUUUCACGAGCUUCUUAAUUCCCCAAACGAUUUAGAAUAAUUAGUUUAUAAAAUUCAAAUAAUUUUCAAGUCAUUUUAAGUAGUUUUGUCAUUUUUAUAAUUUUAAAUAAUAAAUAUGAUAUUUUAUAUUAUUAUGUGUCUAAUUAGUAUAUUUUAUGAAUGUUCGAAAAUUGUCUCUAAAGGAUUUUAGUUUCAUUUAAAUAUUUGGUUAUUUAGUUUAAAUUAAUUAAUAGCUUAUAUUUUGAGUUAAUUAGUUUAUAAUUCAGUUAAUUAUUAUAUAAUUAUGUGUCUAAUUAGUAUAUUUUAUGAAUGUUCGAAAAUAGUCGACAAAAAGUAUUUUUGUUUAAAUAAAAUAUUUGGUUAAUUAGUUUAGUUACAUAAUAUUUUAUAUUUUAAAUUAUUUGGUUUAUAAUUAAGUCAAUUAUUUUAUUUUGCUGAAAUUAAGAAGCUUAUUGAUUAAUCUAUAUUAAUUCAUCUUGCUUAAUUACUAGUCGAACUUAUCCUAGUCAACUAAGUUUGACUACAUUUGGCUUUAAUUUAAAUUCAUGUAGCCAAAGUUUAAAUCCAAUUCUAGCUUUAUCAAUUUUUAAAGGACCAAAUUUUGGUCCUUUUCUCAAAUUUGACCAAAAUCAUGGCCCAACAGCCCAUAUCCAAACAAUACGUACAUCAAACAACCAAACCGACCCCACCCUUUUUUCUUUUUUCCAGCAAUUCCCAACUACCUAGGCCCACCAUUUUAAUUCCUCCAACAAUACUAAAAUAAUAACAACAUACACCAAACCGGCCCCCAUCUGCAUCGUUCUUCUUCUUCGCAGAAACGAACAACAGCCCAAAAACGAACAGCAGCCCAGAACGAGCAGCAGCCCACCGCGACAGCCAGCGAAUCAAAUCGACCCGGAACCGGCAGUCCAAAGGCGUUAACACAUCUCCCUCACAUCCCUCUCCGUGGUACGAUUUGAGCAGAGAAAAGCAGCACGCGCUCCGUCCUCCUUUCCCCUUUCGGAAUGAGUCAAGACUUCAAGGGAAAGGGUGUUUGUCCGAAAUGGUGAAAGUUUGGAGUUUGAAUUUCGAAUUUGGGGCCCUUGUUUCUACCCGGUUUUGGUCCUUUUCCCCCCAUUUCCGAACCCGAUUUUUCCUUCUAUAUAGGUUGUUUUGUUGUUCACGAAAGAGGGGAUAUUUUUUGGAGUUGAAAAUUUUUGUGUCAAGGAAAUAUUGAAAAAAGUUUAGAAGAAAAACAGAGAAAAAAGGCUAGACGAAAAUGGGGAAAAUUGAAAGAAAAAAUUGAAAAGGUUUGGGAAAAAUGGUCAAAAGAUAUAUAGAAAGGGGAAUAGAAAUAUAGUUUACACCAUAGUUUAUUUCGAGUAUAGCAAAUAGGCACGAAGGAGUUUCUAGCUUGUUCAUCGUUAGCCGGAGCUUGUCGUAGUUCCGUCAUUGGUAGAAGUCGUUGCUCCUCCGCUUGUUGGUUCUAGUCGCUGCCCGCCAAAAGUCUCUUGGACUCUUACUUCUCGUAGUUGCAUUUCAAGUUGGGCCAUGAAGGCCCAAAAUCCUUUCUUUUCAAGUCCAUCUUUAUCAGAUUGAUAUGCCAGACACCGGCGAACAGGUCAUUUUGGAAGCUGAACAUGUCCUCGAAAGUCAACGCAUUGGGACCAUAGCUGAUACAUAAUGAUAUACAGCAAUAUACACCAAGUGUAUAUGCUGUAUAUAUGGCAGAAUGGGGCCCAAAAGCCCAUCUCUUUAUCUUAAUUUGUAUUUUGUUAUUUUGGGCCUAAGCCUUUAUCAUUCCGAUUAUUAUUAUUCUGUUAGUUCUCAGGACAGGUAAAAGAAUUGGGCCUAAGGCCCAAAGAUAAAAUAUAUUUCUUUAUAUUAGACUAGGACAGGUGCGGGUGACUCAAGUAGGCCAAAGGGCCCAAAACGAAAAUAGGCCCAAGUAUUGGUCCAGGCGGACAGAAAAACCAAACUUGGGCCCAGACCUCUUUCCCUCUUUGUUUUAUUAUGUUUACUUAUUUAUUAGUAUUUGUCGUUAAUCUUAGGGUCGAAAAGUUCAAAUCCCCGAGAGACGCUCAUUUCGUUUUAACAAUGUAACUAAACUGGUCAUCUCUUAACAAGACUUAAACAAACAAUUUUGUAAGAUAGUCCACUUAGAUAAUAUUUAAAUAUUUCCCUUUUUUCCCCUUUAAAAUAGUUCUAAUUACAAAACAAAUCAAUUUUGCAAUUUAAGUUAAAGUUAAAUCUUUUCAGCCGAGUAAAUUAAUUGUCGGAUAACCGCAUUAGCGGAUAUUCUAGGUGCCUUAAAAACCUUCCUAGAAUAUUAAUAAGAACCCCCGAACCCCCUUAAGUAUUUUCAAUUGAUGCCCUGUUUUAAUCUAUUGAAAAACAAUUUUCUUGAUUUUUCUUAAAAAUUAAGUGGCGACUCUUAAACCAGUCAAAUAAUAUUUUCCUAAUGAAACAGAAUGGCGACUUCCACUGGGAAUUUGAAUGGUUCUAACCUUAAGAUUCAUUUAUUUGUCUAUGUGAUUUAACUGUCUACUUGUUUUAUUUAUCGUAUAUAUUGAACUGUUGCAUUCAUGGCAUGACAUAUUUCGUCAAAUGAUAAUUAUUUUAAUUUCCAUCUAAAGGACGAUUAUGCGGGCCGUAGUCGUUCGUUAACCAAAUUAUUCUCGGGGCACCCUGACGAAUGUAGUUGGCUACUGGAUAGUCAACGGUCGUUAACUGUCCCAGCCCAAGUUGUCCGUUUGGGUCACCUAUCCAUUAUAAACGAAGCCCACUCUUAGUCAAGACUAGCGUAGAGCCAAACUCAGCUAGCGCAUCAAACUAAGAUGACCCAACACCCAAGGUGUGUUAGGCCCAUUAGAGAGACCACCUUGAGUUCAAAACGGCCCACGGCCUAAAUGAACGAUCAUAUUUAUGUGUUUAAAUUUGAAAGAUGUAUACGUUGUUUGACAAACCAUUGUCUCUUAGGGUAGAGAGCUUAAUAAUUUGUUCGAGUCGAAGAAGGAUCAAAUUACUAGUCCAUCCAAAGGCAUUGACACUCGGAGAUGACAAGAAAUCAAUAAAGAAGAGGGACCUCACAUGGAAGAAUAGUUUAGGAUUGUACCCCUCUGUGGGAUUAAUUAUUUGUAUCCCUUUUCCCUAUUAUGUAUCCUCAUUUAGUUUAUUUAUAAAACUUGUAUAAUUUUGGGUUUUAGGGGGCAAUGGAAUGUUUCAAAUGACAUAUACAUCCUUCAAAUCGUUAGGCCUACCCUUGGCAUAAAAGGGUCACAUAUCUGUUUAAAAAUGCAUAAUAUUUGUUUGUGUGCUAUGUGAUUAACUGUUUGUGUGAAUAUGUUGCUUCAUUUGGAGAUAUUCUAGCUUACUCUUCUUCGAAUUAUUUUUAGAACCCCUAAGCACAAAUAUCAAGUCACUAUCAAAAGUGCGUCCAAAUACUCUUCGAGUUUUUAGUUUCCUAACAAAAUUUGAACUUCACUUUCAAAUUCAUACUCUUAUAUCUCAGAAAAGGUCGAUUUACUCAAGUCAAAAAGAAAGGUCGAACUACGUAGGACCUGAAUUCUCUUUUGUGAGAUACGUAGGCAGCCUUUCAAGGUUCGGUCCCCAUUUUUGAGAAAUUCUAUAUUUCCAACUCUUACAAAGAAAUUAGAGUUACAUCUCAAUCGAAAAGCAAAGUAUGACAAUGAAAUAUACAAUAGAUUUUGUCUCGACUCAAGUCGACAUUCAGGUCCAUUAAGCUCAAAAAUCAAAUAGUCAAAUUUUCGUCUAUUUAGUCAUUUAUUUAUGUGGGCUAGUUUAUCUUCAAAUGAAACAACUUUUAUGUGUUUACAAUAAUGUGUGUGAUAUUUUGUAUUAUUUAUCAUCGACACAGACUAACACAUUUGCCUUUGAGUUGUUUUUCUUUGUCAGGUACUUAAAACUGAUCUGUGUUGAGAAAAAUGGCUGGACAUCCGUACUUCACAAGGUCCAAAGACCCCAAAGAUUUCUUCUACGACCAAUGUUUGUCAAAAGGCAAAGAAAAAGUAGUUGAAAAUGUUGAGAAUACAAAUUUGACCGAAAUUACUGUGAAUGACCUCAUCAUUGUCGAACAUAACAAGUUGAUUGCACAAUUGUUCCAACAGAUUGCUGAAAUGAGGGCGGAAAUGGAUAAGACACGAAAUUUGACGAAUCUAGCUAUUAGUGCCGACACUCCUACUCUAGACAACGGAAGACCUCCACUCCAUUUUCCUACUUCGGAUCCAACACUCAAGGAUUUUUCAAACAAUUCAUCCCCCUCUACCAUUCCAAAACCUCCCAUCAUCGACUUAACCACCCCUAACCCACAUCAUGCUAGCUCUUCACACCAAAAAUUACCCUACUCCUCCAAAUCCAAAUACCAACACUUUCCAGAAUUUUCCUCAUGUCCAUCAAACCCUUACUCAAAUUGUCGAAAACCCACCUACAACUCAACCCAUACCCUUAAAAACCGCAUUUCAUCUUCCAAUAUCGCCAGAAUCAUACCAUCCAUUUACUACACAUGUUGAACUCGAGCAUUAUGAGAAGAAUGAAAAGGAAUGGAAGGUCAUAAAGGGAAAGACUGAGCAAAGCAUCAGAGAGGAAGUUAUGGAUGCAAUGAAGAACUUUCAAUACACACCAGACAUUGCGGGGCUGAAUUAUGAAGAUUUGUGUCGUCAUCCACAUUUGGAGCUUCCAGAAGGUUUUAAAGUACCAAAAUUUGACACUUAUAGUGGAGUUGAAAAUCCUUUUACUCAUUUGAGGUCUUAUUGUGAUCAACUUAUUGGAGUAGGGAGAGAUGAAGCUUUGCUAAUGCGACUCUUUAGUCGUAGCCUGAAAGGAGAAGCCUUGGAAUGGUUUAUUUCUAAAGAAAUCAAGCAGUGGCCAAGUUGGAACGCUUUGGCUACUGAUAGUAGAGGUUCUUCAGUUUCCAUUUACUGUGUCUUCAACAGUAUUCCUUUUUCCUGGUUAAUUUUCGGGGGACAGAUUGAAACAUUUUGCUUCAGUGGUGACUGUGGUUGCGCGAAGCUUGAAAGUUCAAGGUAAGUUAGUUAUAUGUUCAUGCUGUAGACAGUAAAACUUUUAUGAAUAUAUGACACACUUGUCGUUACUUUCACUUCACAGGAUAAUUUCUCUGCUCAUUAAAACUUCCGUGAAUGAAGGACUUCAACAAAGAUAGUUGUCACAAAUCUUAUAGCAAAGAGUUCUCCCAUUAGCUCUUAAAAUGUCCUAAGCAGUAUCUGUUCAUCUUAACAGGUUUUGCUUUCUCCUUUUUUUAGUGGUUACUUAUAAUGAUCUGCUUCUCCAUCCUCCCAAUUAGGAAACGUGUGCCAAACUAACUUUUUACCAUUUCCUGUGUUUCAGAUUCAUGUUUGAAACACUAGCAUGUUACUUGUGUUGGAUGUGUUUCAGUGUCAUCAUUGGCAAGGGAAAUUGCACUCCGUAAGCUCAUUUGCAUUUGGCUGAAUCUGGAUUGGAGAUAUUACUUCCCUGUAUGUGGAGAUCCCGGAAAAGGGUCACGAGUGAUUGUCAAUUGAGCUUUUCGCGUAUACUGAAAUGAGAGUCCAAUGGUCCAGUCGGAACACCCAGCCCACAGCUCCUGAAAUUCUAAACUGAAUUAACCUGGCAGUGUUGAAUAGCAUUCAAAGUAGAAAGAGCAACUUAUGCCAGUUACUUUGCUACAUUUCUCUACCAUGGUUGUAUGUUGUGUAUAGAGCAACUUGUGUCUUGCAAUUUUAUUUUAUUGUUUUGAUGUCAGAAAUACUUUCAGCAAGACAAUAUUACAUGGUGUUAGGGUUACAACGUAACUUGUUAUCCAAAUCGACAAAUAAAUAAUUUUAUAAUACUUAUUAAGUUUGACUUCAAGUAAGAAUAUAACUAGUUUAAUGAAAUAUUAACCAAAUUGUUUCCCAAUGAUCACAAUGAAGCACAAAAGAUAUGUGUGAUUCAAUCAUUACGGCUCUUUAGGAUGUUUUGAUAUCGUGUAUAUGAAUCAUGGUUUGCUCAUUUGNNNNNNNNNNNNNNNNNNNNNNNNNNNNNNNNNNNNNNNNNNNNNNNNNNNNNNNNNNNNNNNNNNNNNNNNNNNNNNNNNNNNNNNNNNNNNNNNNNNNNNNNNNNNNNNNNNNNNNNNNNNNNNNNNNNNNNNNNNNNNNNNNNNNNNNNNNNNNNNNNNNNNNNNNNNNNNNNNNNNNNNNNNNNNNNNNNNNNNNNNNNNNNNNNNNNNNNNNNNNNNNNNNNNNNNNNNNNNNNNNNNNNNNNNNNNNNNNNNNNNNNNNNNNNNNNNNNNNNNNNNNNNNNNNNNNNNNNNNNNNNNNNNNNNNNNNNNNNNNNNNNNNNNNNNNNNNNNNNNNNNNNNNNNNNNNNNNNNNNNNNNNNNNNNNNNNNNNNNNNNNNNNNNNNNNNNNNNNNNNNNNNNNNNNNNNNNNNNNNNNNNNNNNNNNNNNNNNNNNNNNNNNNNNNNNNNNNNNNNNNNNNNNNNNNNNNNNNNNNNNNNNNNNNNNNNNNNNNNNNNNNNNNNNNNNNNNNNNNNNNNNNNNNNNNNNNNNNNNNNNNNNNNNNNNNNNNNNNNNNNNNNNNNNNNNNNNNNNNNNNNNNNNNNNNNNNNNNNNNNNNNNNNNNNNNNNNNNNNNNNNNNNNNNNNNNNNNNNNNNNNNNNNNNNNNNNNNNNNNNNNNNNNNNNNNNNNNNNNNNNNNNNNNNNNNNNNNNNNNNNNNNNNNNNNNNNNNNNNNNNNNNNNNNNNNNNNNNNNNNNNNNNNNNNNNNNNNNNNNNNNNNNNNNNNNNNNNNNNNNNNNNNNNNNNNNNNNNNNNNNNNNNNNNNNNNNNNNNNNNNNNNNNNNNNNNNNNNNNNNNNNNNNNNNNNNNNNNNNNNNNNNNNNNNNNNNNNNNNNNNNNAAAAAAAAUGAGAAAAUAUCUAUGCUUUAUGUUUUGUUGCUUUGUAUACGUUAGCCUAGCAUGUGGUAUUUUAGAAUCCUCAUUUGAAUAUUGUAUUUGUACAAUAGUUAGUUAAUUUUACUUUAUGCACUUAUAUAUUCUUUUUAUUAGGAAAAUCUAUGUACUUUCUAUUGUAAAAAUGAUGAUUUUUUUAGUAAAUAUCAAUAGAUUUGAAGGACAUAAAAUAUGUUAUUUGCAAUCAAAAUUUAUAUGAAGUAUUUUGGGAUAAACUAGAACUAGUUAUUCGAUAAAGUGGUGCACUUUUAAUCCCAACCCAAAUUUCCGUUAGGUUUUUUACCAGACAAAAGGUUCAAAAUGUGUCUCCUUAUUGAAUUUGUGGAAGAUAAGGUUAGUGCUAAAUCCUUUAGAUAAGGUAAGUGAUUAGUAUGUAAUUGCAGGGGAAAUGUUUAAGUUUUUCAUAGAGUUAAAUGGCUAAAAACACACCUCAAUCCUGUGUGUUUUCGCGAGUUAGAUAAUAAAACUAUCACAAUCUUUGUAUUAAAACACACCUCAAGUACUAAUUGGAAAGUGACCAUAGGAAGAAAACAUCUCAUUUAAUCUUGCAGCACUCCAUAACUUGAUCCAUAUCACGGGAACGUAACAACUUGGUAUCAUAGACAGGAGUUAUAAGAAAACAUCUGAUUUCAUCUGAUUUUCUUCUGUCUAAUUUGAUGACUUAUGAGUAAAUCUGAGACGAUGACCUUUGAUAAUGUCUGUGCCACUCAACUAUGCUCUAUCCAGAUGAUGUUCUCAAAAUUUUCAACAAUUUAGUAAUUUAAGUGCAUAUAGCUUAAGGAUAAAAAAACUGGUCAGUUACAAUUUUUUCUUAUUUAUGCUUUCAGGUAACUGGAAACAGUCCUCUGAUUUUAUCCGUGAACUAGCAAAAGAAGACGACUUUGUGAAGGAGCAAAAAUAACAAUGGCCGAUCCAGUAAUUGGUGCUACUGUUCAAGUUGUGCUUGAGAAGCUGCUUUCUCUCACUAUUGAGGAGGCCAAAACUUUAAGGAACUGCAAGAAAAAUCUCAGAAUGCUCACAAAAUAUGUAUCCAUCAUCCAAGCUUUCAUUCAUGAUGCUGAAAGACGACAAGUCGAAGAUCAGGCUGUGGAAGAAUGGCUCAAGAUGCUUGAGAGAGUUGCUGAAGAUGCUGAAAAUGUGUUUGACAAAUUCACAUAUGAAUCUCUCAAAGCACAAGUGAUGAAAAACCGAGCCAAACUACUGGAAAAAGUUCAUAGCUUCUUUUCUAAUACUGCUUUUAAGUACAAAAUGUCUCGAAAAAUCAACAACAUCAAUGAAGAGUUGAGGGCUAUCAAUCAGUUAGCCAAUGACCUCGGUCUCCAAUCACUGACUGUUCCUUCUCGCAAAAUACUACAAAUCAGAGAAACAGAUUCCUUAGGAGUUGCUUCGGAUGUUGUUGGUAGAGACAAAGAUGUUGCUGAAAUAAAGGAGAAGAUGUUGAACAUGAGAGAGGAAGUUGUUCGGUGUGCCAUUCCCAUAGUGGGCAUGGGGGGUUUAGAGAAAACUACCAAAACAACUUUGGCCAAGAGAAUUUUCAAUGAUGAACAGAUCGAGAAGCACUUUGAAAAGAGAGUAUGGUUAUGUCUACCUGAAAUGUCAGAAAUUAAGAGCUUUCUUGAACUGAUCCUCGAAGCAUUGACUGAGAGGAAACUUGAGGUCCAGAGUAGAGAUAUUAUAGUCAAGAAGGUCCGAGAUGAACUGGCAGGAAGAAAGUAUUUGAUUGUCCUGGAUGAUUUGUGGCGUGUUGACCCAACAUUGUGGGAUGAGUUUGUGGACACCUUGAGAGGAAUAAAUACAUCCCGAGGAAACUUCAUUCUUGUGACUACUCGUAUGGAAUUGGUGGCAUCCACUGUAGUAGCAGCAGUAGGUCCUCAUAUGUUGGAAAAAUUAGAAAAAGAUCACUGUUGGUCGAUUUUCAAACAAAGAGCAUUUGUUGAUGGGGAAGUUCCGGAGGAAAUACUGAGUGUGGAGAACAGGAUUGCUGAAAUGUGUCAAGGUCUACCGUUGGCUGCAAGUGUUUUGGGAGGCCUCUUGCGCAACAAGGAGAAGCAUGAAUGGCAGGCAAUUCUUGAUGGAAACCCCCUUGUUGCAGGUGAAAAUAGCUUAAAGAAAAUCCUAAAACUCAGCUAUGUUCAUCUACCAUCUCCAUAUCUAAAAAAAUGUUUUGCUUACUUUGCAAUGUUUCCAAAAGAUUUUAAGUUUGAAAAGAACCAACUAGUCCAACUCUGGAUGGCAGAAGGGUUUCUUCGUCCAAGUCAAGAGAUUCCUGUUAUGGAAGACGUAGGGAACAAGUUUUUUCAACUUUUGUUGCAAUAUUCCUUGCUGCAAGAUGUUGAGCUAGAUGAGCACAACAAUAUAACACACUGUAAGAUGCAUGAUCUUGUGCAUGAUUUGGCUGGAGAUACAUUAAAAUCUAAACUAUUUGAUACGAAAAGUGUUGGAGGUGAAAAUCUUUCUCAAGUUCGAUACAUUGGAUGGGACUCACCAAGUGAUCAAAUGGAUACGAUAAAUGAGGCAGGACGUUUGUGCACAUUGUUCUGGAAAAGCAAUAUAUCUGAUGAUAUGCUAUUGAGCUUUCAGUUCUUGAGACUUUUAAAUUUGUCUGGAUCAGGCAUCAAGGAGUUGUCAGCCAAAAUCAGCAAGCUAAUAUACUUGAGAUAUCUUGAUCUCUCCAACACUCAGAUCAAAGACUUUCCCAACUCCAUUUGCAAGCUCUACAAUUUGCAAACGUUUAGAGUCAAUGACUGUUCUUCACUCAGGAAGCUUCCAAAAGAAUUGGCAAAAAUGAUAAGUUUGAGACACGUAUAUUACAAACCAUCAAUUUAUGAUCAGUUUCAGAUGCCACUUAAUAUGGGGCAAUUGACCAGUCUUCAGACGCUACAGUUUUUCUACGUAGGCUUAGAGAAAGGUCGUCGAAUUGAAGAAUUAGGUCGUUUGAAAAACCUUAGAGGUGAAUUGUCGAUCAGAUGUCUCCAAUUAGUCAGAAAUAAAGAAGAUGCUCAAACAGCAUAUUUAAAGGAGAAACCAAAUAUCUACAAUCUAGCAUAUUUAUGGUUCCAUGAUGAAUCAGAAGGCUGUGAGAUCAAUGAUGAGCAUGUGUUGGAUGGUCUUCAACCGCAUCCUAACUUGAAAGCCUUAUCAGUAGUGGACUAUUUAGGGACUAAAUUUCCUUCAUGGUUCAGUGAAGAGUUGCUACCAAAUUUGGUCAAGUUGAAACUAAGUGGUUGCAAAAGGUGCAAAGAAAUUCCAUCCCUUGGCCAACUGAAAUUCCUUCGGCAUCUUGAGCUGGAAGGAUUCCAUGAGUUGGAAUGCAUUGGACCUGAUUUAUAUGGUGUUGAGAUUAGCAAUAAUGGAUCAAGCAGCAUUAUCCAAGUGUUCCCGUCAUUGAAAGAACUAGUAUUAGAGAAUAUGCGCAGCCUUAUUGAGUGGAAGGGAGAUGAAGUUGGUGUUAGAAUGUUUCCUAGGCUUGAGAAGUUGACGAUUACAGACUGUUCACUGUUAAAAAGUACUCCAAGUCAAUUUGAAAUCCUGCGUGAAUUAAGAAUUGAAUUAGUUGACAGUGAAAUGCCAUUGUUGAACUUGUACAGCAACUUGACAUCUCUUGUGGAUCUUUCUGUUAGGAAUGUGCAAGAGCUCACUUGUCUUCCAGAUGAGAUUCUACGCAACAACGUUUCUCUUCAAUACCUAUCAGUCUCAUACUGCGGAGAGUUUCGUGAAUUGCCACAAAGCUUGUACAAUCUCCAUUCUCUUAAGAGAUUAAUGAUUGCCAACUGCACCAAUUUCAGUUCUUUUCCUGUUCCCUGUGGAGAGAACUAUUUGACUAACCUCCGAAGGUUGGAUUUAUUCAAUUGUAAUGGAUUGACCAGCUUACCAAGUGGAAUUCUAGAGCAUUGUCGGUCUCUGAUAGUUUUUAAUGUCUGCAAUUGUAAGAACUUAGUUUCAUUGCCUUUACACGUGUGGGAAAUGCCUUCACUUUCCUAUUUGGAUUUAUCAGAUUGUCCCAAAUUGAUUAGUGUACCCGCAGGAGGCCUUCACUGUCUCACCGGGUUAAGGAGAUUGGAAAUUGGUCCUUUCUCAGAGAUGGUGAAUUUUGAGGCAUUCCAAUUGAUUUUUAAUGGCAUUCAGCAGUUGUUGUCCCUUCGUAGAUUGGGUGUGUGGGGACGUGGGCACUGGGAUUCUCUGCCCUAUCAGCUUAUGCAACUCUCUGCCCUAACAGAGAUCAAAAUAUGCAAUUUCGGAAUGGAGGCUCUUCCUCAUAGAUUUGACAACCUUACUUCUCUUGAAACAUUACAAGUAGAGGAGUGCGAGCGGCUAUGGCAUUUGGACUUCUCAGAUUCCAUGUCAAAAUUACGGCAUCUCAGGAUAUAUGCUUGUCCAUUGUUAGAAGCUCUGUCAGAUGGGCUCGGCAACAUUGUUUCUUUGGAAAAAUUAGUUUUACAUCACUGCCAAAAACUAAAACAUCUGCCAUCCAGAGAUGCCAUGCAACGCCUCACCAAAUUACUGUACCUGGAAAUUGGAAGCUGCCCACAGUUAGAAGAAAGUUGCACCAAUCGGAGUAGCCCAAACUCCCAGUGGUCCAACAUUUCCCAUAUUCCAGAAAUUCAAGUAGGCGGGACGAUGAUUCAGGAUACACGUAUGUCUCUGUUUCUCUUUCACUUUCUUAGUCGAUUUUUCAAAUAUUAUUUUCAUGAGUUCCACACAAAAAGCUUUGUAUGUAAUUUAAUAUUAAAAAUGCAAAAUUAAAUCAAUCAUUUGCAUAUGUGAUAUACUUUCAGCAUUCUGCUUGUCCACUUGAACGACUUGUUUUUCUUUUAAUUCUUCAAGUAUGGUAUAUCUUGAUAAUACUUAGGGUGUGUUUGGUAUGAAGGAAAAUGUUUUCCUGGAAAACAAGUUGAUUUUUGACUUAUUUUCUCAUUUUUGGUUGGUGAGUAGAAAAUAGUUUCCGAAAAAGAUUUUUAGUAUUUGAUUUAUGAAUGAUUUUUUUUUUGAGAAAUAUCUUUUAUUUUUACUAGGGUAGAAAAUAAUUUUUGAAAUUGAAAAUAUUUUUUAAAAACAAACUUAAUUUUUUUUGGGGUGGGGUGGUAGGGGUGGGUNNNNNNNNNNNNNNNNNNNNNNNNNNNNNNNNNNNNNNNNNNNNNNNNNNNNNNNNNNNNNNNNNNNNNNNNNNNNNNNNNNNNNNNNNNNNNNNNNNNNNNNNNNNNNNNNNNNNNNNNNNNNNNNNNNNNNNNNNNNNNNNNNNNNNNNNNNNNNNNNNNNNNNNNNNNNNNNNNNNNNNNNNNNNNNNNNNNNNNNNNNNNNNNNNNNNNNNNNNNNNNNNNNNNNNNNNNNNNNNNNNNNNNNNNNNNNNNNNNNNNNNNNNNNNNNNNNNNNNNNNNNNNNNNNNNNNNNNNNNNNNNNNNNNNNNNNNNGGGUUGGUUGGGGGGCUGGUUUGAGGGUAGGGACAAAAUAAAUUGAUUUUUUCAACAAUUUUUUUUUUAAUUGGAAGUUGGAAGAGAGUUUUGGAAAAUGUUUUCCUUAAGUUUUGAAGAGAAGUCAUUUUCCUUAAAUUUGAGGAAAAUGAGUUGAUUUGAAAAACAUUUUCCAAAAAUUUAACCCAAUCAAACAUGAGAAAAUUGGAAAACAUUUUCCGAAAAAUGUUUUCCUUCAUACCAAACACACCCUUAAUCAUGAAAUUUAUGUUUUUUUUUUCCUUCUAGGUUACUAGUUCCAAGGUCAUGCUAGAACAUCGAUGUGGUAAAUUAAGCCAAAUCCCAUGAGCAGCAGGCAAUUACGUUAGGUAAAUUUUCAUUUACAAUUUAUAGGCACUUUGUAAUCUACUAAUUUCUAUCCUUCUUUUUGUUGGGAACUGAUUUUCGGAGGUCUGUGCUGAUGAAUACAACACUACCUUCCUAAAAAAAAAAAAAAAAGAAGUUUAAUCAAGAAAAUUUAUGUUGCUGCUCAUAGGUUACUAGGUACAAGGUCAUGGUAGAACUUCCUUGUGGUAUAUCAAGUCAAAAUCCACGGGCAGUAAUCACAUUAGGUAUUUUUAUUUAGUUGUUAAAGGACUGCUAUAAAAAGUCUGUCAAGUUCUUUUUUGCAUUCCUUUUCUCUCACGAAACAAUUUUACUGUUUAAACGGGGUUUGUUAUGUUUCAUAGAGGCUCAUGGGGUACAAACGGCUACAAAUUACUGUACCUGGAAACUGAAGGCUGCCCAGAGUUAGAAGAAAGUUGCACCAAUCGGAGUAGCUCAAACUCCCACUAGUCCAACAUUUCCCGUGUUCCAAAUAUUGAAGUAGAUGGGAGGAAAAUUCAGAACUUAUGUAAGUCUCUGUUUCUUCUUCUAAUUUUUAAAUUUUCAUAUCUUGAUAUGAAAAUUUAUGUGUUUUUUUAUAGGUUACUAGUUCCACGGUCAUGCUAGAACGUCUCUGUGGUAAAUUAAGCCUCAUCCCAUGAGCGGCAGGCAAUUAUGUCAGAUAAAUUUUCAUAUAGGAUUUAUAGGCACUUUGUAAUCUUCUAAAUUUUGUGUCUUCCUUUUUGUUGGGAACAAAUUUUUGGAGGUCUAUGCUGAUGAAUACAACAUGAAAAUUUAUGUUGAUGCUCAUACAUUACUAGGUACAAGGUCAUGGAAGAACUUCAUUGUGGUUUAUCAAGUCAAAAUCCAUGGGCAGCAAUCACAUUAGGUAUCUUUAUUAGUUGUUAGAGGAAUGCUAUAACAAGUUUGUCAGCUUCAUUCCUUUUCUCUCAUGAUACAUUUUUACUGUUUAACCAGGUUUGUUAUGUUUCACAGAGGAACCACCACUUUUAUUUUGUUUGAAGAACAGAAUCUUCAGCUGUAGACUCAUUACGAAACACUUUCAUGAGUAUUUGGGUACUGAACAUCUUUUCGGGAAACUGUAGUCUACAUAUGAAACAUCAAAAAACUCAAAGCAUAUAGGGUGCUCAAUGUGAAGCUACACACGUCUAUCCUCUGUCUUUGCAUGAACCUAUUUGCCUUUUUAUUCUCCAUGUAAGUUUCUGCAAUUUUAUUUGACGAAUAAAGUCUGAUAUCUACUUUCAUAGGGACUUUGUAUUUAACUUUCUAUGAAAUUGUGAACUGUUAGAAUGUAACCUGUUUUAUUCCCUUUUACUUUCAAUGAUUUACUAUCUCACAGUAUUAAUGUCUGUGCCUCCCCUCUCCCAUCCGGUACGAAAUAAGAAGAAUCUUAGUAUUUGUCAUAUCUAGUCAGGUGAUAUGAUGAAGAUAAUGGAAGUAAUGGAUGGUCGGUGUGUUAUGAAUGGGCCUAGACCAGUAUUGACAAAGCAGCCCAAAGCCGAAUUAAAAGGGCUAUGUGUGGGAUCCGGGUUGAUAAAUAGAGACUUGGGAGAGCAAAAUAGUUUUAUGCAAAUUAUGUGAAGCUUUGGCUUUCUGAUCCUCUCAUCUCCUUUCUAUGGUCUAGAAUCUCAUCCCCUUCUAGUUACCCUCUUCUAUGUUAUCUAUCUAUAAUUAGUGUGUUGUUACUUUGUUGUGGGUAUUAUACAUUGUAACUUGUAUUCCGUAAUAACAAUAUAUAUAUCAGUGUUUGUGUUGAAAAUUGAGUUUGUUACAUUGGUGCUUUCAUCCAGAGGUUUCUCAUGGAGGACCAAAGACUCAAGGCUCUCAUCAAUGAAUCCAUUAAGGAGGCAAAAGAGUCAUUUUCCAAAGAUAUUGCAGACAUUCGCCAUAUGUUACAGGAGGUUACCCGAAAGUUCGUUCCGGCAGGGCCUCACAUUCGAGAUCCAACAAUGGAGGUUGCUCGUCCUCAUCACGGGAAAGGCACUCUUGAAUCCCCCACACUCCGUCAUAGGCCAGCUCCGGUGGAACUAGGACGAUUUCGUGGUGAAAAUCCAGAGGCGUGGAUUUUCCAAGCUGAAUGCUAUUUUGAUUUUUACGGAAUCGUAGAAACGCACAAGCUAACCUUGGCAUCCUUUUAUCUCAACGGUGAAGCUUUGGAAUGGUAUCAAUGGUUGUUUUGCAACAAACAACUGGCUGGCUGGGACCAUUUUGUGGACAAAUUGCUGAUUCGUUUUCGCUCCCGUACUAGGGACAAACAACGCGAGUUCUUACCCAUUCCCAGAAACAAGAAUCAUAGGGCAGUGGAGUACUCUCAGGCGGUUAGUCCAUCGUUGGUUAAUAUUGAGACUUUGGGUCCCAUGUUGGACUCCAAAUAUGACUUGAAGAACAACCCAAACGGCUAUGCCUGCAAGGUGUUCGCUGAAAUGCCCGAUAAGAAAAUUGACAUGGAAGUUGAACAUCCAGUGAUAACUGAUUCAACAAAUCUGGCAUCCCAUAUGUUUGAUGAAAAUUUUCAAACAGUUUCUGCAUUUUAAGGGAGAGUACGGUGAGCUUAUCAUGUUUGAUAAUAAUUGUCUUGCACUACCUUGUUUGCCUUCGAUUUUUAGUCGCACCCAACUUAUGGGAAGAUCUAUAUUUGAUUACUUCAAGGAAUUCGGUCAUGCUAACCUCCCAUUAUCGUUGUAUCAAUUUCCACUUGAUCAUUUCGGGUUCAGCUUUCCAUUUGAUCCUGGUUCUAGUUUGAAAGUUGGAGUCGCGCUGUGAUAAUUUGGAGCAAUGUACUGCUCAUCGGUAAAGUUGCAAGAGAACUGCCUACACCUGCUUCUAACUUGCUGAUGUUAGUAUGUAUAGCUUCCUUAAUAGCUCCAAUGAGAAUCCUCACAAUGAUAUCAAAUUGGUACUACUUGAACCUUGAGGACAAGGUUCUUAUUGGGGCUGAAGGUAUUGUUAUGAAUGGGCCUAGACCAGUAUUGACAAAGCAGCCCAAAGCCGAAUUAAAAGGGCUAUGUGUGGGAUCCGGGUUGAUAAAUAGAGACUUGGGAGAGCAAAAUAGUUUUAUGCAAAUUAUGUGAAGCUUUGGCUUUCUGAUCCUCUCAUCUCCUUUCUAUGGUCUAGAAUCUCAUCCCCUUCUAGUUACCCUCUUCUAUGUUAUCUAUCUAUAAUUAGUGUGUUGUUACUUUGUUGUGGGUAUUAUACAUUGUAACUUGUAUUCCGUAAUAACAAUAUAUAUAUCAGUGUUUGUGUUGAAAAUUGAGUUUGUUACACGGUGCCAUUGAAAUCUGCUUAAUGCUUAUGAGGUAUUCAUGAGCCGGUGACUGUGGUUGCAUCUUGCACGAAGCUUGAAAGUUCAAGGUAAGUUUUUUAGAUCAAUACUUUUUUCUCCCAAAUGCUACUUUUGAAUCAUCAUACUUAUCUAUGGAACAAUGUCAAGUCUUAUAUAUGGUAGAAAUCUAUAUAAGUUUCUUAAUAGACUCAUAAAAAACUAUCUUUAUUUUCAUGCUUUAUCAGUAGAAACUUUAUGGAUAUUUGACACACUUCUCGUUACUUUCACUUCACAGGAUAAUUUCUCCGUUGAUAUUGGAAAGUGAAUUGGAAAUAUUAUUUCCCUGUAUGUGGAAGAUCCGAAAAGGAUUCAUGAAUGAUUAAGUUUGUUGCACAUGAAUCAUGAUAAUCAGUAGAGGCUUUUUGCGUAUGUUGAAUUAAUCAUUAAAGGUCACAGACAUGAAUAAGAUUUGCGAAAAUGCAGUCUAGGAAAUGAAGUUUUUACUCAUGUUAGAUUUAAGCAGUAUAUCUUAUGAAAGAUUGAGUAUUAUUUAUUUGUCUUUUCCACUGUAUCACAAAGAAAAGAGAGGUUAAGUGAUCGAAUAACCCUUUUAUAAUUAAUGAUAAUUAUAUUAUUUUAAAUAAAAAAUUUGAUCCAAUAAAUAUUUUAUCUAAUUUUCUCAAAAAAAAAAAAAAAGAGUCCAGUGGAAUACUUGUCUUUGAUAGAAUGUGACACAUUAGGAAAUCCAGCCAAACUUGGUCAAAAUUGUGUAUUAUUGCCGGAAAACAGAACUGAAAAAUAGUAUUUUCUCCGUCCUUGAUUUAUACAUUGUCGUGUUUUAUAAUUUUUUUGAAAUAACAUAAAGAUUUCAUGUCUAAAUUUAUAGUUAAAAUAAAAAUAUUUGAUUCUCAAAAUUCAAAUAACGAGAAAGAGGGAGUACUAAGAAAAACAUGUCCACAGAACAAUGUGUUUGAUUCCUUCAAAUAAGUACUACUAUUCCUUCAUGGGAUUUUUUUUAAAGUUCGAAAUAAAAAGAAUUUACUAAAUUUAGACAAGUCAUUGAAUAAUAAAUGAGCGGGACAUUAACUAAAGAUUUCUUUAAUUAAGAUGAGUUAAACAAUUAGCCUUAGUCCACCUCGCAUUAAACUCUUACCAACUUUUUAUGGUUGUUUGCUUUCUUAGUGAUUGUCUUUAUCAAAUAAAAGUAUAAAAUCGGUUUAAUUUUUUUUUAUCACGACUAUCCAUAGCAUAUGAAGUAAAAAAAUAAUAAUUUAAAAAUCAAUAAUAUUUCUUAUUAAUUUGGGUACCAUAUUUCAAUAAUGUUUUGACUAAGCAUAUUUAAUAUUAAAAAAUAAAGGAAAGAGAGAGGGGGAGAAAUGAUAAGUACCUGAAACUGAAGAUGGCAGAGAAGAAGACUCAAUAAAUUGUGAACAUUUUCACCGAAUGAAAUAGGAAAAAAGACUUAUUUAUAAUAAGAUGUUAGGAGCAGUAAAAAAACCUCUCUCUAUUAUAAGAUGUUAGAAUUGGUAGAAAAGAUUCAAUUUAUUAUGAGAUGUUUUUACUUUUUCAAACAAAAAAUAAUAGAAAUUUUACUAUUUAAUAUUUAAUAAAUUGGACUAAGAGUUGUUAAAUUAAAAUUAGUAUAUGUAAAAUAUUGAUUUGAAUCAUUUUAGAUUGUAAUAUUUUAUCUGAGCAAAUUAAAAAUAUUACAUUUUAAAAGUCCAAUUAGUGUAUUGUUCCUUAAUUAAAUCUAUCCCCCCCCCCCGUCCCUCCUUACCCCGCUUCCCCUUCCCUUUCUCCAUCCCCAUAAUUAAUUCUAUAUGAACAUAGAUAAUAAAUAUCAUAAUGAAUAUCAAAUAAUUUUAAUGUUUCAUAUAUAUUUCUCUUUAUUACAUUAUUUGUUGUUUAAAAUUAUAGUAUCAGUAUUGAUUUUUAUUAACUUAUCAUUUGACUUAAUAUAAUUAUCAAGCGCUCUUCUUGUAGAUAUUAAACAAAUCUGUUUAUUUUUUUUACUUGUGAGUUUUAAAUUUUAUUGUUCACAUUCCUUUAAUUCAAUAUUUAUGGAUAAUAAUAUGUAUAUUAUCUAACUAAUUUAUUAUACUCUCAAAAGUAGUUCAAAAUAUUUUUCACACACAUUUUUCGCUAACAUUAUAUAUUAGCUUUAUGCCUUUAUCUUAAAACUGUCAAGUGGCUUUUAGCUUGCCACUUGACUUAACCACAUUGCAAACUACUUUGUUAUAUGUAAAUAUAUAUAUAGAUCUAGAUGAUAAUUGUGCGCUUAAUGAUUUAUACAAACAUUCAAAGAGACUGAAACGUUGCCAGAUUAAAAAAUUAGGAAAAACUACAAAAUAUAGCAAACAUCAAUUUAUAUUAUAUGUAUAUAGCUACAAUUUAUUUUUUUAACCUAUAUGGAUAUACUUACAUAUUAAUUAGCAAACUUAAUUAACCAUGAAUUGUAAGCUUUUUUUUAAAAAAAAAUUAUAUGUAUUUAAAUAAUUAUUACUAAAUAGGAAAGAUAUCACUACAUAAAUGCAAUAUAUACGUUUUAUGGUGCUAUGUUGUCCAUACUUACCUUAUUCAACAUUUUUCUCUUUCAAUAUACAUGUAUCAACGCUUUUUUUAUUAUUUUUCCUCUAAUUUCCUUCUAAUUCAAGAUCCUUUGCAUGAUUGUAUGAACGAUUUUUGUGAUUCAUCUUCGUUGGGUAUAUUCUAAUUAAUUGCAUUUUUUUCUCCUUUAUAUGAAGUUUAUAUUUAUACACAUAUAUAUGUUUCUCGAUUUUCGUAGGGUUUUAUUUUAAGAAGUUAUUUUCACCAGCAUUCAAAUAUACAAUUAAAUUCUGUUAAAAUUCACUUUGAUACAAAUGAUGUAAUACAUUUCGUUCUCUUGAUACACGCAUAUAAUUGUAUUUGAAUGUUGAACACAAUGGAAUACAUAUACAUUUGAAUACUUGUUAUUUUUUAUGAAUUGUCCAAUUAAAAUACAAGUGCAUUUGGAUACAUAAAUACAUUACAUAAAUUUGAAUGUAUACAUAUACAACACAUCUAUUUUUUUAUUGAGUGAAAUACAUAUACAUUUGGAUAAUUAUAUUGUAGUAUAGUUCUUUGACAUUUUUUCUAGAUUGUCCAAUUAUAUUGAUAUAUUAACACAAUUGUAUUGAGCAAUCUUAGGGAUACAAUAUACUUAUCAUGAAGUUCACGUAUUUGAAAUCGAAACAAACAAGAUUCAUUCACUAUUACAAUAAAUCAAUUUAACUAAAGAAAUUUAUGUGAAAUAUAUUUAUGCUUGAACAAGAACAACAUCAAGAAAGAAAAUAUGUGUACGAUGUAUCCAAAUUUUUUUAAAACUAAUUGGAAUCCUAGAGUAUAUGCAUUGACUAGGUAAUCAAAUAUGUGAAUAAAUUGUAUUCUCUUGAUUACACACAUAUAAUUGUAUUUGAAUGUUGAACAUAGUGGAAUACAUAUACAUUUGAAUACUUGUUAUUUUUUCAUGGAUUGUCCAAUUAGAAAUACAAGUGCAUUAGGAUACAUAAAUACAUUACAUAGAUUUGAAUGUAUACGUAUACAACACAUAUUUUUUUUUUUGCAUAGAGUGAAAUACAUAUACAUUUGGCUAAUCAUAUUUGUAUUAUAGUUCAUUGUCAUUUUUUUUCUAGAUUGUCCAAUUGUAUUGAUAUAUCAACACAAUUGUAUUGAGCAAUCUUAGGGAUACAAUUAUGCUUAUUGUGUAUUUGAAACCAAAACAAACAAGAUUCAUUCACAAUUACAAUAAAUCAAUUUAACUAAAGAAAAUGUAAGUGAAAUACCUUUACGCUUGAACAAGAACAAUAGCGACAAAUGAAAAAUUUGUAUACGAUGUAUCCAAUUUUUUUAAAAAAGUAAUUGGAAUCCGAGAGUAUACACAUUGACUAUGUAAUCAUUAGUUGUUAAUGUAAUAAUGGGAAGUUGAGAAUUUCAAGCAACAUAAUUAAAGGGAUUCAGUUACCUUAUUUAAUUCACUAUAAUUCUAAUUAUAUCACUGUAUAAUUUAAAAAAAAAAAACAAAUACAGCUAGAUAUUAAUAUAAAAUGUAGUUAUUUUUAGUAAAUGAUAUACUUAUAACUAUUGAACUUCAAUAACCCUAUAAAUAUAGUCAUUUAUGUAAGUUGCUCUUAAAAUUAACUGGUCUAUUAGUUAAAUGAAGGUUUUAUAUGAAUAAUUUAAUGGGCAAAUUACAGAAAUCACAUACUUUUAAGGCAAAAUUAUAAUUUAUUCCUUAAAAGUUUAUAAUUACAGAAAUCCUUCAAACGGAUACAAUAAUAUAAGCGCUGAUACAUUAAUCUGAUGCGCGAGAUACAUUAAUCGUUAAGUAAGAUACAUUACAUUUUAUACAUGAUACACUAAUCUAAUGCGCGAGAUACGAUAAUAUAAACGCUGAUACAUUAAUCUGAUGCGCGAGAUACACUAAUCUGAUGUGCGAAAAUAAGGAAUUUUGGAGAUUUGUAAAACUUAUAGGGGAUAAUGAUAAUAAGUAAACUAAAAGUUGAAUUUUCUGUAAUUUUCCCUAAUUUAAUUGAUUCAGUUGGCAAGCUAAUAUACUUUGCAAGGGGUGGAAUAGAAGAAUUUAAAUUGAGGAGUACUCCCUCCGUUCCACAAAGAAUGACCUCCUUUCCUUUUUAGUCAGUUUCAAAAAGAAUGACCUCUUUCCUUUUUUGGUAACAUUUUACUUUUUGCUUUCCGCAUGACAUGUUUAAAACCACAAGAUUCAGGGCAAUUUUGUACAUUUGACAUAACUUUAAUUUAGGACCACAAGAUUCAAAAGUCUUCUUUAUUUACUUAAACUCCGUGCCAAGUCAAACCAGGUCAUUCUUUAUGAACGGAGGGAGUAAUAGAGAAAAUCAUAUGAAUCAGAAGACCAUGAAGCUGCCACUUUUUGCUCUGCUCGAACUCAAAACUUUAGGGUCGAUGGUGAGGGAUGCUUACAAAAUGACUGUGAGAUGAAUGAUGAGUUGAAGGGUGUAUUUGGUAUGAAGGAAAAUGUUUUCCAAUUUUCUCAUGUUUGGUUGGGUUAAAUGUUUUGGAAAAUGUUUUCCAAAUCAACUCAUUUUCCUCAAAUUUAAAGAAAAUGACUUUCCUUCAAAACUUAAGGAAAACAUUUUCCAAAACUCUCUUCCAACUUCCAAUUAAAAAAAAUUGUUGAAAAAAUCAAUUUAUUUUGUCUCUACACUCAAACCAACCCCCCAACCACCCCCCCCNNNNNNNNNNNNNNNNNNNNNNNNNNNNNNNNNNNNNNNNNNNNNNNNNNNNNNNNNNNNNNNNNNNNNNNNNNNNNNNNNNNNNNNNNNNNNNNNNNNNNNNNNNNNNNNNNNNNNNNNNNNNNNNNNNNNNNNNNNNNNNNNNNNNNNNNNNNNNNNNNNNNNNNNNNNNNNNNNNNNNNNNNNNNNNNNNNNNNNNNNNNNNNNNNNNNNNNNNNNNNNNNNNNNNNNNNNNNNNNNNNNNNNNNNNNNNNNNNNNNNNNNNNNNNNNNNNNNNNNNNNNNNNNNNNNNNNNNNNNNNNNNNNNNNNNNNNNNNNNNNNNNNNNNNNNNNNNNNNNNNNNNNNNNNNNNNNNNNNNNNNNNNNNNNNNNNNNNNNNNNNNNNNNNNNNNNNNNNNNNNNNNNNNNNNNNNNNNNNNNNNNNNNNNNNNNNNNNNNNNNNNNNNNNNNNNNNNNNNNNNNNNNNNNNNNNNNNNNNNNNNNNNNNNNNNNNNNNNNNNNNNNNNNNNNNNNNNNNNNNNNNNNNNNNNNNNNNNNNNNNNNNNNNNNNNNNNNNNNNNNNNNNNNNNNNNNNNNNNNNNNNNNNNNNNNNNNNACCCACGCCCUACCAGCCCCCCACCCCCCAAAAAAAAUUUAAGUUUUUUUUAAAAAAAUAUUUUUAACUUCAAAAUUUUAAUUUUUCACCCCUACCUUUGACCCCCACUCCCUACCAGCCCCCACCCCAAAAAAAAUUAAGUUUGUUUUUAAAAAAUAUUUUCAAUUUCAAAAAUCAUUUCUACUCUAGUAAAAUAAAAGAAUUUUUUCAAAACAUUUUUCAUUCAUAAAUCAAACACAAAAAAUCUUUUUCGAAAAAUAUUUUCUACUCACCAAUCAAACAUGAGAAAAUAAGUUAAAAAUCAACUUGUUUUCCAAGAAAACAUUUUCCUUCGUACCAAACACACCCGAAAUUGCAGAAAUUCUACAAUUUGCAAUUUUUUAGUAAUGAGAUGCUUCCCAUUGAUGGUAUUCUGCAGCUGGGAUUCUGUGCCCUAACAAUAAUUGAUUUUGGAUUCCAUGCUCUUCCUCAUACUCUUGCCAAUCUGGAAUUCUUACAUGUUAUGCCCAAAUUGCUGUGUCAUUCCAGUUGGGCAUUCAGUUUUGGACCGGUAUUAUUUUCCCUCUCCCAAUUCUCUUUCUCUCUCAUUCUCUAACCCUAGCUAAUUCUGCCAUUUAUGGAGUUGUACUAUUUCCCUAUCAUUCUAAGGCAUUGCAAUUUGAAUUUCGCACCCAAACACAUUUGUGAUUUCAGCUCUCCAGAUCAUAUGGAUUUUGUGCAAAACAGAUAAUGCAGUUUGAGAUAUUGAGCAUUUUACUUAGCAAUUGGUACAACAAGAGCCUUAAUACUGCUUAUAGAAGAGCCCUAAAAUGCUUUUUUCUUUUUGGAGGAAGUUUGGCUAAGUUUAUAACCUGGUUAAAUUGGCUUUAUUUUGACAAAGUUUUAUUAUUUUAUCCUUUUUUUAAUUCUCCGAAAAUCUUUACUAAAACAAAACGCCUUCAAAGUUACAGGAUUGUUUCUUAGAGAGAUAUUUGUGUCAUUGGAGUACUGAAUGCCACUCAUUUUUUUUUGAAUUAUUGUAUAUGAAUUUUAGUGGUCCAUAAACAACUAGCAAAAGAAGACUUUGGUGCAAAGGAAGAAGACAAAUUUGAGAAGGAGCAAACGCAACAAUUGCCGACCCUGUAAUUGGUGCUACUGUUCAGGUUGUGCUUGAGAAACUGCUUUCUCUCACCAUUGAGGAGGCCAGAAGUUUAAGGAACUGCAAGAAAAAUCUCAGAAUGCUGACAAAAUAUGUAUCCAUCGAUGCACAGGCUGUGGAACAAUGGCUCAAGAUGCUUGAGAGAAUUGCUUAAGAUGCUGAAAAUGUGUUUGACAAAUUCACAUAUGAAUCUCUCAAAGCACAAGUGAUGAGCAUCCAAAACAGCCCAAUGAGAAAGGUCAGUGGUUUCUUUUCUCAUACUGCUUUUAAGAGCAAAAUGACUCGAAAAAUAAAAAAACAUCAAUGAAGAGUUGACGUCUAUCAAUCAGUUAGCCAAAGACCUUGGUCUCCAAUCACUGAUAGUUCCGUCUCAGAAAAUAUUACCUAUUUGAGAAAUAGAUUCCUUAGUAGUUGCUUCGGAUGUCGUAGAGAUAACGAUGUUGCUGAAAUUAAGGAGAAGAUGUUGAACAUGAGAAAGGAAGUUGUUCUGUGCACCAUUCCCAUAGUGGGCAUGGGAGGUUUAGGGAAAACUAGUAUUUGCUAAGAGAAUUUUCAAUGAUGAAGAGAUAGAAAAACACUUUGAAAAGAGAGUUCGGAUGGGUCUACCUGAAAUGUCAGAGACUAAGAGCUUUCUUGAAUAGAUCCCCGAAACAUUGACAGAGAGGAAACUUGAGGUCUCUUGGUAUCACUUUUCUUCAGCCUCACAAGUUCCAACUGGAUUAUGCCAGAACAUAUACCAGAUCUUCUAAGUUGUUGGAUCAGGAGAGGGGUAGCAAGUCCCAGAAAAGAUGGCGGAGAGCAAUUCCUUUGUGUAUUUGGUGAACAAUAUGGAAGAAAAGAAAAGGGAGGUGUUUUGAGGGCAGGUCUAAUACUCUGCAAAAGAUUAAAUGGAAUUGCAUCGUAGAUUUUCACUUUUGGUGUAAACUAGCAAAUGUAGAAUAUGUUCAAUCGGUAGAUUUUUUAGGCUCUUUGUAAUUAGCCUUAGUUAAUAGUUAUAACUCGUUGUUGAUAACUUUUUGGAGGUCUCCAGCAUAUCCUUAAUGCUGAGGAAUACAAAUUACCAGUUUUCAAAAAAAUUGAUGAUAGGAGUGUUUAUUGCAUUCUCGUGAUUCUGAUUAAAUUCCACCUAGUUUCCCCCUUUCUUUUGUUGUAUUAAUGUCUGACCCUUCCUCUCUUCCAACCUGUACUAAAGAAGAAGAAACUCAAUAGUUGUUAUAUCUAUUCAGGUUGUAUCGUGAAGAUAAUAAAGGGUAUACAUGGGAGGUGCCCUUUUUCGAAUUCUGUUCAUGAGUUGCAGCUCAAAUAAAUUCUCACUGAUUAUUUUUAUGAAUUCAGUGGUGUUUUAAAUUUUUCAUAAGCAUCCCCUUUUCAUCUUUGGUGGUAACUAUUUUUGUUCACUAGCUUGAUGAAGGAUCUAAGGUGAUAGUUGGUGAAAAUGUAUUAUUCACUUGCUGUAAUAACAUGAUUUCUAAUCUCGGGGUGCUGGAACAUACAUGUUUCAAAUCGAUGAUGAGCAUGUUAUAGAUGCCACAAGGGCUGGAAGCAUUGCACAUUCAAUCAAUUGUUUUUUGAAGAACGUAAAAUCCUUCUUACCUAGUCCCUUUUCCUUUGAUGGUUUUUUUCUCUUUGGGUAAAUUGUUGUUUCCACAAUAGCACCUGCAUUACAUGAACAAAGAUGAUGUGAGGCUCAUUCUCUUGGGGUAAUGUGCUGUUUUGCGCCUGAAAACAGACUUGUGGAACUGGUCUUGUUGUUUGGAAUGGAAACUCAUCAGGCUUGUGUCUACGAGGACUGAGGAACUUGAUUUCUUAAGCAUUAUUCAAAAUCAUAAUGGAAAGUUUGCCGAAUUUUUUAGUAAUUUGGUAAUGUUUUCCUUUGUUGGUUCUAAACUGCCUUUUUUUCAACAAACAACUUCACUAUGUUAAUACAUAAUAGGUCUCAGACAAUAACAUGUAUUAGCAGGUAAUCAGAUUUAACUUUUUCAGAUUAACAUAACCCUCAUACUAUAAUUCUAUUCAGAGCGUCAGUAAUGAGAAGGGAAAUAGAUAAAUUAGCUAAACAGUUCUAAACUGCCCAAUAUAUGUCAACUAUUAAUUGGAAAGUGACUGCCAUUCAUUAGAAAUAAAAACAACACAGAACCACCACCCAAAAAUAUUUAUUUAAAGGAUGAUUAGCUAUUAUUCCACAAAAGAAUUCUUUAUUCAAAUUAUUGUCUAUGAAUUAUUCUCUUUCUUGUAGAGGCUGGCAAACAACUAUCAAAAGAAUACUUCUGCAAGAAAUUUGAGAAGAUUUUGGUGUAUAGAGGAAGAAAACAACUUUGUAAAGAGCAUUGCAAUGAUGGCCGAUCUUGUAAUUGGUGCUACUGUUAAAGUUGUGCUUGAUAAACUGCUUUCUCUCACUAUUGAGGAGGCUAAAAUUUUAAGGAACUACAAGAAAAAUCACAGAAUGCUGACAAAAUAUGUAUCCAUGAUCAAGAUCUCAUUCAUGAUGCUGAAAAACGACAAGUUGAUGAUCAGGCUGUUGAACAAUGGCUCAAGAUGCUUGAGAGAGCUGCUGAAGAUGCUGAAAACGUGUUUGAUGAAUUCAGAUAUGAAUCUCUCAAAGCACAUGUGAUGAACAUCCGAACCAAACUAAUGGAAAAGGUCAGCAACUUCUUUUCUCAUACUGCUUAUAAGUACAAAAUGUCUCGAAAAAUCAACAACAUCAAUGAAGAGUUGAGGGCUAUCAAUCAGUUAGCCAAUGACCUUGGUCUCAAAUCACUGAUGGUUCCUUCUCGGAAAAUACUUCCGAUUCGAGAAACAGAUUCCGUAGUUGUUGCUUCGGAUGUUGUUGGUAGAGACAAAGAUGUUGCUGAAAUAAAAGAGAAGAUUUUGAACAUGAGAAAUGAUGUUGUUCUGUGCACCAUUCCCAUAGUGGGUAUGGGGGGUUUAGGGAAAACAACUGUGGCUAAGAGAAUUUUCAAUGACCAACACAUCAAGCAGCAGUUCGAAAAGAGAGUUUGGUUGUGCCUACCUGAAAUGUCAGAAACUAAGAGCUUUCUUGAAUUGAUCCUCGAAUCACUGACAAAGAGGAAAGGUGAGGUCCAAAGCAGAGAUAUAAUAGUCAAGACGCUACAAGAUGCACUGGGACAAAAAAAGUAUUUGCUUGUCCUGGAUGAUUUGUGGUGUGUUGACUCUACAUCGUGGCAUGAGUUCAUGGACACCUUGAAAGGAAUCAAUACAUCCAGAGGAAUCUGCAUUCUCGUGACUACUCGUAUCAAACAAGUGGCAUCCACAAUAGCAGUAGAUCUUCAUAUGUUGGGGAAAUUAACAGACUAUCAUUGUUGGUCCAUUUUCAAACAAAGAGCGUUUGUUGGUGGGGAAGUUCUGGAGGAAAUACUGAGCAUGGAAAACAAGAUUGUUGAAAUGUGUCAAGGUCUACCGUUGGCUGCAAGUGUGUUGGGAGGCCUCUUAUUCAACAAGGAUAAACAUGACUGGCAAGCAAUUCUUGAUGGCAACCCCCUUGUUGUAGGGGAAGAUGAUCUUCGGGAAAAUAGCAUAAAGAAGAUCCUAAAACUAAGCUAUGAUUAUCUAUCAUCUCCACAUCUGAAGAAAUGUUUUGGUUACUUUGCAAUGUUUCCAAAAGAUUUUGAGUUUGAGAAGGACCAACUAAUCCAACUCUGGAUGGCUGAAGGGUUUCUUUGUCCAUGUCAAGAGACCACUGUGAUGGAAGACGUCGGGAACAAGUUUUUCCAACUCUUGUUGCAAUAUUCUUUGUCGCAAGAUGUUAAGCUAGAUGAGCUCAACAAUAUAACACUGUAAGAUGCAUGAUCUUGUGCAUGAUUUGGCUGGAGAUAUUUUAAAGUCUAAACUAUUUGAUCAAAAAAGUGUAGGAGGAGAAAAUCUUUCUCAAGUCCAAUACUUUGGAUGGGACUCACCAAGUGAUAAAAUAGAUAAGAUAAACAAGUCAGGACAUUUGUGCACAUUUUUCUGGAAAAGAAAUAUAUCUGAAGAUAUGUUGUUGAGCUUUCAGUUCUUGAGAGUUAUAAAUUUGUCCAGGUCAGGCAUUGAGGUAUUGUCAGCCAAAAUCGGCAAGCUAAUAUACUUGAGAUAUCUUGAUCUCUCCAGCACUGAGGUCAAAGACUUGCCCAACUCCGUUUGCAAGCUCUACAAUUUGCAAACAUUUAGAGCCAAUGGUUGUUCUUCACCGAGGAAGCUCCCAGAAGAAAUAGCAAAUAUGAUAAGUUUGAGACACAUACAUUACCAAUCUGAAAUUGAUUAUCAGUUUCAGAUGCCACUUAAUAUGGGGCAAUUGAUCAGUCUUCAGACGCUACAAUUUUUCUAUGUAGGUGUAGAGAAAGGUCGUCAAAUAGAAGAAUUAGGUCGUUUGAAAAACCUUAGAGGUGAAUUGACAAUCAAACGUCUACAAUUAGUCGGCAAUAAAGAAGAGGCUCAAACUGCAUAUUUACUGGAGAAACCAAAUAUCUACAAGCUGGUGUAUUUAUGGUCCCAUGAUGAAUCAGAAGGCUGUGAGAUCAAUGAUGAGCAUGUGUUGGAUGGUCUUCAACCACAUCCUAACUUGAAAACCUUUGUAGUGGAGAACUAUUGGGGGACUAUAUUUCCUCUUGGUUCAAUGAAGAAUUGAUGCCAAAUUUGGUCAUGUUGAAAUUAAGUGGUUGCAAGAGGUGCAAAGAUAAUCUAUCGCUUGGUCAACUGAAGUUCCUUCGGCAUCUUGAGCUGAUAGGAUUCCUUGAAUUGGAAUGCAUUGGACCUACAUUUUAUGGUGUUGAUAAUGGAUCAAGCAGCAAUAAUGGCAAAAUUCAAGUGUUCCCGUCAUUGAAAGAACUAGUAUUGAAGGAUAUGCAUAGCCUAAUAGAGUGGAAGGGAGAUGAAGUUGGAGUAAGAAAUGUUUCCUGGGCUUGAGAAGUUGACAAUUACAGAGUGUUCACUGUUAAAAAGUGCUCCAACUCAAUUGGAAACCCUGCGUGAAUUAGAAAUUGAAAGAGUUGACAGUGAAAUGCCAUUGUUGAACUUGUGCAGCAACUUAACAUGUCUUGUGGAUCUCGAUGUCAGUGAUGUGAAAGAGCUCACUUGUCUACCUGAUGAGAUGCUACGCAAGAACGUUUCUCUUCAACGCCUGUGGAUCUCAGAUUGCAGAAAGUUUUGUGAAUUGCCACAGAGCUUGUACAAUCUCCAUUCCCUUGAGAGCUUACGAAUAUCCUUCUGCCCCAAUUUUAGUUCUUUUCCUGUUCCCAGUGGAGAGAAUUAUUUAACUUCCCUCCGAAGGCUUCACUUACUUUAUUGUGAUGGAUUGACCAGUUUACCAAAUGGAAUGCUAGAACAAUGCCGGUCUCUAAAGAUUUUGAGGGUCAGCAACUGUAAGAACUUGGUUUCCUUCCCUUUACAUGUGUGGGAAGUACCUUCACUUUCCAUUUUGGAUAUGUCAAAUUGUCCCAAAUUGAUUAGUCUACCCACAGGAGGCCUUCACCAUCUCACUGGGUUAUGGGAUUUGAAAAUUGGUCCUUUCUCAGAGAUUGUGGAUUUUGAGGCAUUCCAAUUGAUUUUUAAUGGCAUUCAGCCGCUAUUGUCCCUUCAUACGUUGUGGGUGUACGGACAUGGGCACUGGGAUUCUCUUCCCUAUCAGCUUAUGCAACUCUCUUCCCUAAUUGAGAUCAGAUUAAGUGAUUUCGGUAUCGAUGAUCUUCCUCAUAGUCUUUGCAAUCUUACUUCUCUUGAAACAUUACAUCUAGUGGGGUGCAAACGGCUACAACAUGUGGACUUCAGAGAUGCCAUGCCCAAAUUACAUUAUCUUGAGAUCUGUGGUUGUCCAUUGUUAGAAGCUCUGUCGGAUGGGCUCAGCAACCCUGUUUGUUUGGAAAUGUUAAUUUUUUGGAACUGCGAAAUACUGGAGCGUCUGCCAUCCAGAGAUGUCAUGCGAAGCCUCACGAAAUUACAGUUCCUGAAAAUUAAAGACUGCCCACAGUUAGAAGAAAGUUGCACCAAUUGGAGUAGCCCAAACUCCCAGUGGUCCAACAUUUCCCAUAUUCCAAAAAUUAAAGUAGGUGGGAGGAUAUUCAGAACUUAACAAUUUCAAAUUUCAAAAUUCUAUUCCUGCUCAACACAAAUGAAGAACCCUAAUUUUUCCCUAUAAAUACUUACAUUUCAGAGCUUAUUUGGGAGGAUUUUUUUCAAAAUCUGGCAGCCCCUCACCUCUAAAAUUUUUAGUUAUUUCUCCUCUAAACCAUCUCUUCUAUUUUCGUAUUUUACCAUUUUCUUUGGCAUUCCAGUCGCAGCAAUAGUUUGUGUGUUCGUUUCGACCAUUAACGGUGGUCAUCAGAGUUAGUAAGUAGAUCUAAGAUCGAGACCGCAAGCCCCCGUUCACUACCCCGCAGCAGGUGAUCUUUGUCCCUUUACUUUUACUUCUAUUAUUGUCUCCGUGAAAAUGUUAUACCUAUUGUAAGAAAAACCAUGCGUCAAGUAUAAUACUCACUUAUUUUUAGCUAUCAUGAAAGUGAUGUUUAAAAAUUAUGUUUUUUUUUAUUUAGUUUGAGGCCUGGAGAGAUUUGAGUUCAUAUCUCCUUCACAUUUUAAUUUAAAGAAUGAUUUGUUUUGGAAGGGGUUGGUGAUAUGUAAUCUGUUUUUGGUUCAAAGUUUGGUAUUUAUUUGUAUCUCUAUGUGAUAAAUAGAUAUUGUUUUCGCUAUUCUUAUGUUUUAAGAUUAUUAUGUUGUGUUGAGAAUCAUGUCAUAGAUAUAUCUAUUUAUUUGUUUUAUAUGCAGAGAAAUUGAAUACAAACUUGCCGCAUUUAUUAGUAAUCUUGGUAUUUAGAAGCUGUGGCCUUAUUUAUGCUUAAACUCGCCAAUGAAUUUUAAAUUGAAUAAAAAGCAAAAUCCUUGUGCUAAAGUUUAUUGCUAUAUUUUUUUUAUUUUUUCUUUUUCUCAACAGUAUGUAUUAAAAUAUAUUUUGGAAAGAAAAGUUGCUUAUUGGAUUCAGAUUUGGUUCUAAUUUGACUUGUGAAUGCUACUUUUAUAAAUAUUAUAUAUAGUUCGAGCUUUAGUUUCUUCUUACAUUGUAUAUUUGAACCAAAAUGUGCUAUACAUUGUAACUCAAUAAUAUUACCUUAGAGACCUUUCUAUAAUUAACUAAAUAGGCCUUAGAUAUUAAAUAAAUAUAUUUGUUUAUAUAUUGUAUCCAGGUGAAGGUUUUGUUUCUUGUUUAAUAUGUUGUGAUGUGUUGUGAUGAUUGCUAUCCUUUAACGAGAAUGGUAUUGGUUUAAUUUAAAGGCUUUGAGAUAUUUAUUCACUGUAAGCAUGCUUGUAAAUAUUAGUUAAAGAAAUUUUAUUUUCUUCCUAUAGAAGAAUGUAUAAGUUAGUUGGGUGUUACAAUUUAUUUCAUACUUACUAUUAAGGUACUUGUGUUGGAAUUGAAUAAAUAGAAUGUAUAUUUGUUUCACCUAUUAGUUACCUGCAUGUCUAAUCCUUUUAUUUCUCUUAUUGUUGUACAUGUACACUUUGGGAGGAAAAAACGGAGUUUUGAUUAGGACUCUACCAAUUAUUGAGUCUCAUAGACUCAACAUUAUCCUCACACUUGCACAUGGAGUCUUCACUACAUCUUUUGACCAUUCGAAAUUGCAAGCAAAACAAGUGGUCCUAUCUUGGAGUCACUUAUGGCUACUUACAUUUUGCAUUAAUUGUUUACGUGUUUUUCUUUACGUGUUAUACUUGCUUGUGUGAUUUAGAUAUUUCUAGUUUGGAUUCAUGAUAAUUGACUUAAUAUAGAUGUUUGGAUUUGGGUUCCUUUAGUUAGAAACUAAACCUUAUUAGUUACUUUACCUUUUAUAAACUUCAUUUGGCAAACCUUUUUUAAAAAAUACUUCUUUUUGCACCAUUUUAAUCUCACUAGAUUUAUUAAGUUUGGUUCAAACUUGGCAAUGUCUUACAAAGAAAAUUUGUUGUUCUAAACUCUUAUUUUUCUAAAACUUUUUCUAACGGGAGCACCUUGUCAGUCAAUGAGCAAGUGUCUAUUUUUUUAAUUACUUAUUUUUAGCCAUGGAUUUUUAGCCACGGAUUUAAGAUUUUACUCUUUCUUAAAUCUUUUUCAUUCUAAUAAAUUGCAAAAGAGCUUUUAAAAUAAAAAAUGUUUUCCAACUUGGUUAUUCAAUCACUUAAUAUUUAGCACUCAUAUCUUUCUUUUAAAAUUAAUUAACCUAAGUUUGGUCGGUAAUCGUAUUUUUAACGAAUCUUAAAGGAUGCCUUACCCCCUUCCCUUUAGGAUAAUUAGAACCCUUACCUAGAAUCUUAAGUUUUAGUUUUACUUAGUUAAAUAUUUAGGUGUCCUAAUUCACCAUAAUUAAUUAGGUGGCGACUUCUUAAGUUAAUUAAUUUGGAAAUCACCAAUAUGUUGUACACGUUUUGACCUCGAGUUAAUGAGGUAUAGCACACACCCCCCUAAAGUUAGGUGUGGUGCAACAACGCCUAACUUGGAUAAACACCAAAAGAAGGCAGGCUUGGGUAGCGGCUUUGUGAGAGUGUCUGUAAUUUGAUCCCCGACCAUAACAAACUUAGGUUAAUAAUUAAGUUUUUAACAUCUGUUUGUUUCAUUUUUGUUGUGUGUUUUAAUGCCUAAAUGAUUUACUUAUCAUGCUUAUGUGAAUAUAAACUGCUUAUUUGUAGUAGCUUUAUAUAAAUUGUUUAUUUGUUACUGUUAUGAAACACCAAUAUUAUCACAAAAAAAUCUUGGCGUUUGCGAGACUUGAUAUCGUAAUUCAGUCAAUAGAUUGUGUACCCAAGUAAGUUCAGAGAGUGCAUUGGCUACCGAUUUGUAUUCUGCUUCAAUAGAGGACCGAGCAACUAAUUGUUGCUUUUUAGAGGACCAACAGAUCAGAUUUGGUCCCAAGAAGAGUAUGUAACCAGAUGUGGAUAUUCUGUCAGAGGGAUCACCUGCCCAAUCAGCAUCGGCGUACAUAUACAUAUUACUAUUAGAGUGGCUAGAGAUUUGUAGGCACGACGUUGAUGAUGCCUUGAGGUAUCGAAACACCUUUUUUACUGCUUUCCAAUGCUCCAGACUUGGGGAUUGCAUAAACUGUGAUAGUUUGUUAACUGCAAAGGCAAUAUCAGGACGCGUGAAUGAUAAGUAGUGCAAUUUACCAAUGGUGCGUUGAUACAAGGUUGUAUCGGCAUGAGGUGAACCAUCGGCUGCUUUGGGUGGUAAACUUGAGCACAUGGGUGUCGUAACUCCUUUACAGUUGGCCAUAUCCACAUCUCAAGUAUGUAUCUGGAUUGUGAAAAGACAAUCCCAUUUGGAACAUUUUGACUUCGAUCCCCAAAAGAUAGUUGAGUUCACCCAGGUUCUUUAGAGAGAACUUGUAAGCCAGAGAGUUGAUUACAUGUGUGACCAAGUUUGGGUAAUUCCCAGUAAUGAGGAUAUCAUCAACAUACAAUAGAAUAUACAUCGUGACAGCUUCAGAUGUAAAAAUAAACAGAGAAGCAUCUGAUUCAGACUUAACAAACCCAAUUUUAGUCAAGUGAAAUUUGAGAGCUUCAUACCAUGCACGAAGAGCUUGUUUUAGGCCAUAAAUGGCCUUUUGGAGAUGGCAGACAUGAUUGGGAAAAUCAGGGUUGACAUAGCCUUUCGGCUACGCCAUGAAUACUUGCUCCUGUAAGUUACCUUACAAAAAUGCAUUAUUUACGUCAAGCUGCUGCACUUUCCAAUUAUUUUGAACUGCAAUAGAAAGUACAAUUCUGAUGGUGGUUGGUUUGACAACCGGACUGAAAGUUUCAUGAAAGUCCAGUCCUGGACAUUGUGUGAAACCUUUUGCAACUAAUUGCGCCUUGUAGCUGUCAAUAGAACCAUCAUCUUUCCUUUUAAUGUGAAAUAACCACUUACAAUCAACAACAUUAUUUAUCGGGUCCCUAAGUACUAGUUCCCAAGUUUGGUUUUUCAUUAAGGCUUCAUAUUCCAGAUCCAUUGUAUUCUUCCAUUCAAUGUGCUUAACUGCUUGCUUAAAGGUAUUUGGAGUGGGAGAAAGGUAGGACAAGAAGCUGAAUUUUUUCUUUGGUGUGAAGAUAUUAUUUUUGGACCUUGUGACCACACCGGAUGGUGGAGGGACAGCAACUGGUGACAUAAUUGUUAGCUGUUGCGGUGGAUGUUGGUUGAUUGGUGGCCGACGGGAAUAAUAUAAUGGUUGAGAGGUGUUGUGGGCUGCUUCAUUAAAUAGUGAAUGAGGUUGGGAAGAGAUAAGAAUCAUACCUGAUGAAGUGGAGACUGCUGGUAGUUGCCUUUCAAUUAUGGACUCUGGAGUGUUUGAAUGAGAGGGAACUGUUAGGGUGAUAGGAAUAGGAGGCGGAAGAGUUGGAACAAGAUUGAAGUCCAAAUUUAAUUGGACUUCCGGAUGAGUAUCCUUACCGACUUGGGACUCUAUGAUUUCCCAUUAUAACGUGGAAAACAUAUUUUUCAAGUGUGAGAACAUUUGAGUGAAAGGAAAAAUAUCUUCACAAUAUUGAACAUCACGACUGACGAAAAUUUUUGAGUGCAUAGGAUUAAAGCAGAGGUGUGCAUGAUGAACAAUAGAAACUCCUAAGUAGACACACAGUGUAGAUCUAGGCUGAAAUUUAUUUUUUGUAUAUGGCUUAAGCCAUGGAUAACAUAGACAACAAAAAAUUUUCAGCGAAGAGUAUUUUGGCGGUUCGCCAAACAAUUUUUUAUAAGGAGAAUCAUUAUUCAAGUCAGGUGUAGGUAGUCUAUUUAUGAGAUAGACAGCAUGGUGACAGGCAAAUGACCAUAGUUUAGAUGAUAGUGAGGCUUCAUUGAGAAUAGUUCGAGUUGUUUUGACAAUGUGACGAUGUCGUCGUUCAGCAAUUGCAACUCAUUGGGGCGUGUAGGGUGGGGAGAUCAAAUGUUGAAUGCCAUGGCAUUGUAGGUACUGUUUAAGACUUGUGUAUUCAUCCCCUCCAUCAGUAUAAAGUGAGACAAUUUUGUGUUUGGAAAUUUUUUCCACUAAAGGAUGAAAGUUUGUAAAAAUUGAAGCGACUUCACUUUUGUUUUUGAUUGUAUACAACCAAGUGUAUUUGGUGUAAUGAUCAACAAAAAUGCAGUAAUACAACUUUUUAUCAAUGGAUAAAAUGGGUGAUGGACCCCAUAAAUCACUAAACAAAGUUUGAAGUGGUGCAUUACUAUUUAAAGUGAGUCGUUGAAAUGGCAAACGAUGAGCUUUAUUUGAUGAGCAUGAAUUACAAAAAUGAAACUUUUCUUUGGUGGAAAAGGGAAGUGAAAAUUUAUUCAGUACUAAGUCUAGGAUUUUCAGAUAACGGUGACCCAAGCGACGAUGCCACAAUUGACGAGAAACUUUGGUGGAGGUGAAGUUGGCGGAAGGUGACACAUGAUCCCUCUGUGGCCACUCAUAGAGUCCGUGUUUAUUCUAGCCUUGUACCAGCAGUCUCCGAGUUUUGAGAUCCUUCACAAGAAAUGAGUGUGGGAAAAAUUCGAUUGAGGUCAGAUUGUCAGUGCAAAACUUAGCAACAGAAAUAAGGUUCUUUUUGAUAGCUGGAGCACAAAGAGUGUUAGAGAGCAUGAAAUUGGAGUUAGAAGCCUUAAUUUGAGUAAAAUCAGUGUGAGUAAUAAGAAUAGUUUUACCGUCACCUAUGGACAUUUCCUCAUUGCCAGUGUAUUCUUCAAGAUUAUCUGACUCAAUUGUGACAUGAUGAGUUGCUCCAGAGUCGAUGAUCCAAGGAUUUGCAUUUGAGUGAUGAUUUGACACAAAGUUGACCUUAGCUUCAAAGUGGUUGUGCGAUUUUGAGCGACACACAUCAGCUGUGUGACCGAUCUUUUGGCAAAGUUGGCAUUUUACUGCUUGCCUGGGUAGUCUCCCAUUCUGUUGAUUUCCAGGGACCGCCUGUCGUGGAGCUUGUGGUCUUGAAGAUUGAUUUGGGAAGCGAUGAUUAUUUUUUGAUGUUGGGGCUGGAAGUUGGUCCUUUGUGCAACUGCAGCUGUAAUGAUAGAGGAUGACCUGUCAAUAUCUUGAUGUUUGAGAAAGAGUUCAUGGUCCGUGAGUUUCUGGAACAACUCCUCAAAGCUUAGGGCUGUUUCGCGCGCUCUUAUAGCGGCAGUGAUUUCACGGUACUCAUGACCUAGGCCACUCAAAAUCUUGACUGCUAGUUCAUCAUUAUCCACCGGAGAGCCCGUUACUUUGAAAGCAUUAGCAAUUGAUCUGAUCUCUUGUAGGUAAGUAGCAACUGUCUUGGAGGCCUUUUUCAUGUUUUGCAACUGAUCUCGUAAGCUGAAGAUGCGAGUGUGACUCCUAUUGGCAUAAGCUAUAUGAAGGAGAUCCCAAGCUAUUUUUGCCGAAGAGGCAGUUGCAACAAUAGGAGCAAUGGUGGGGUCAACGGAUGCCAUCAUUGCCUGUUGAAUUAGUUGGUCCUGGCAAAACCAUAGCUCAUAUUCAGGAUUGGAGAUGGUACUAUCAGUUUGUGUGAUAGUGGUUGGCGGAGCAGAUUGGCACCAGUGAGAUGCCCAAGGAGCUUGUGUCCAUUGAGUAGCAUCACUAGUUGCGCCUUCCAGGUGCUAAAGUUGAGGUUACCUUGCAGUUUGAUAGGUAAUUGGGCAGCUGGAUUGAACUGUACCACAUGAGUGGUAGUCGGAACUGCAGCAGCCCUAUCAUUGGUGGUAGCAGGAACAACCAUGUUUGGACGCAAAGAGAGGAAAAAAACUUUGGAUCGGACUCGUGAGAGAGGGGGUCUAAUACCAUAAGGAGAUUGAGAAUCAAAGCAAACUUGAAUGAAUCUUAUUCAAAUGUUACAUAACUUAAAUACAGGUAAGACGUAACUAACUUGACUAAUUCUAAGGAACUGUUCUAACAACUUAAUAUGUAACUAAGUUGACUAAAACUAAGGAACUACUUUAACAACUUAAUCUAAAUCUACUCUAACAACCUGAUAAGAAUUAAUAACAAACUAACAAACUAGUGAGUAUGUCAACAAUAACUUUUAUGAAUAGAUGACACACUUGUCGUUACUUUCACUUCACAGGACAAUUUCUCCGUUCAUUAAACUUUCGUCAUUGAUGGACUUCAACAGAGAUAGUUGUCAUGAAUCAUUUAGCAAAUAAUGCCCCAUUGGCUCUUAAAAUGUCCUUAGCAACAUCUGCUCAUCUUAGCAGGUCUUGCGUUCUCCUUUUUUUAGUGGUUACUUGUAAUGAUUUUCUUCUCCAUUCUCCCAAGGAGGAAACGUGUGCCAAAACUGACUUUUUACCAUUUCUGGAAUUAUUUCAGAUUCAUGUUUGAAACACGAGCAUGGACCUCGUCGAAAUGGUACUUGUGUUAGAUGUGUUACAGUUUCAUAAUUGGCAAGGGAAAUUGCAUUCGGUAAACUCGUUUGCAUUUGGCUGAAACUGGAUUUGAGAUAUUAUAUCCUUGAAUGUGGAAAAUCCCGGAAGUGAAACUAGUAGACCUUUGAUGUUGGUCUAAUUCUAAACUGAAUUAACUGGUAGUGUUGAAUAGCAUUCAAAGUAGAAAGAGCAACUUAUGCAAGUCACUUUGCUAGAUUUCUCAGCCAUGGUUGUAUGCUGUAGAACAACUUGUGUCUUGAGAUUUUUAUUUUAGUGGUCUCUCAGAAUUGCCUUGCACGUUUAUUCCAAAAUACCUAAUACAAAUUUUGUAUUGCAAAUGAUAAAUUUUCAAAGACACAUAUAUUGUUAGAUUUUUUUUAUGUUAUAAAAUAACAAUCAAAACAUACAAAAAAAUUACAACUUUUUCACAGCAUAAGUUUAUAUGUUUAUAUCUCUACUCUGCUUAUUCAACCAAGAUUUCCAUCUAAGGUAUGCCCAUUACACCAAAAUAACAACUUUUUCGCAGCAUGAGUUUAUAUGUAUCAUAGUAUACCUUAAGUUAUGGCAUAUGCCCCUGAUAUUGAAAUAACAAAUAACUUUCCCAUGAUACAAGUUUACAUGUUUGUAUCAUAAUAUUCCACAAGUUAUGUUGUAUGCUAAGAGCCGGGAGGGCAUAAUGCAAAAAAUAAAAUAAAAUAUAAACCCAAUUUUUUUCUCUAAAAAGGAUAAAGAAUGCAUAUGCCCCAAAAGCAUAACUCCAGUUUCUGAACACUACAACAAAUUUUAGAAAAAACUACACAACUUAUGUUGGAAUAUUUAAUUUAUACAGAACUUAUGCCAAGCGAAGCAAAAGUUAUUUAAACUUAUGCUGAGCGAAUUAGGUCUCGACAGAUAUAUUUUGGUCCCCCAAAUUUUCAUAAUUAAACACCAGUCUGUUUGAAGGGCAAUACGUGCAAAAACUUGAUUUGAAUGUGACUUCCUUUUUGGUAUCCUUAUUUUCUUGUGGCAGACUCAUAACAGACUGUCAUUCAUUAGAAAUAAAAACAACACACAAAUUAUUUAUUUAAAGGAUGAUUAGCUGUUAAUCCAAAAAAAACAUUCUUUAUUCAAAUUAUUCUCUUUCUUGUAGAGGCCGGCAAACAACUAGCAAAAGAAUACUUAUGCAAGAAAUUUGAGAAGAUUUGGUGUAUAGAGGAAGAAAACAACUUUGUAAAGAGCAUUGCAACGAUGGCCGAUCUUGUAAUUGGUGCUACUGUUAAAGUUGUGCUUGAUAAGCUGCUUUCUCUCACUAUUGAGGAGGCCAAGAGUUUAAGGAACUGCAAGAAAAAUCUAAGAAUGUUGACAAAAUAUGUAUCCAUGAUCCAAGCUCUCAUUCAUGAUGCUGAAAGAUGACAAGUUGAUGAUCAGGCUGUUGAACAAUGGCUCAAAAUGCUUGAGAGAGUUGCUGAAGACGCUGAAAACGUGUUUGACGAAUUCAGAUAUGAAUAUCUCAAAGCACAAGUGAUGAACAUCCGAACCAAACUAAUGGAAAAGGUCAGCAACUUCUUUUCUCAUACUGUUUUUAAGUACAAAAUGUCUGAAAAAAUCAACAACAUCAAUGAAGAGUUGAGGGCUAUCAAUCAGUUAGCCAAAGACCUUGGUCUCCAAUCACUGAUGGUUCCUUCUCGGAACAUAGUACCAAUUCGAGAAAUAGAUUCCGUAGUUGUUGCUUCGGAUGUUGUUGGUAGAGACAAAGAUAUUGCUGAAAUAAAGGAGAAGAUUUUGAACAUGAGAAAGGAAGUUGUUCUGUGCACCAUUCCCAUAGUGGGUAUGGGUGGUUUAGGGAAAACAACUAUGGCUAAGAGAAUUUUCAGUGACAAACACAUCAAGCAGCAGUUCGAAAAGAGAGUUUGGUUGUGCCUACCUGAAAUGUCAGAAUCUAAGAGCUUUCUUGAACAAAUCCUUGAAUCAUUGACAGAGAGGAAAGUUGAGGUUCAAAGGAGAGAUUUAAUAGUUAAGAAGCUACAAGAUGAAUUGGAAGGAAAAAAGUAUUUGCUUGUCCUAGAUGAUAUGUGGCGUGUUGACUCUACAUCGUGGCAUGAGUUCGUGGACACCUUGAAAGGAAUAAAUACAUCCAGAGGAAACUGCAUUCUUGUGACUACUCGUAUGAAGCAGGUGGCAUCCAUAGUAGCAGAAGAUCUUCAUAUGUUGAGAAGAUUAGCAAGAGAUCAUUGUUGGUCCAUUUUCAAACAAAGAGCGUUUGUCGGUGGGAGGUUCCGAAGGCGGAGGAAAUACUGAGCGUGGAGACCAAGAUUGUUGAAAUGUGUCAAGGUCUGCCGUUGGCUGCAAGUGUGUUGGGAGGCCUCUUAUGCAACAAGGAAAAACAUGAAUGGCAGGCAAUUCUUGAUGGAAACCACCUUGUUGCAGGUGAAGAUGAUAAAGGGGAAAAUAGCAUAAAGAAAAUCCUAAAACUCAGCUAUGAUUAUCUACCAUCUCCACAUCUGAAGAAAUGUUUUGCUUACUUUGCUAUGUUUCCAAAAGAUUUUGAGUUUGAGAAGGACCAACUAAUCCAACUCUGGAUGGCAGAAGGGUUUCUUCGUCCAUGUCAAGAGACCCCCGUGAUGGAAGACGUCGGGAACAAGUUUUUCCAACUCUUGUUGCAAUAUUCCUUGCUGCAAGAUGUUAAGAUAGAUGAGCUCAACAAUAUAACACAUUGUAAAAUGCAUGAUCUUGUGCAUGAUUUGGCUGAAGAUAUUUUAAAGUCUAAACUAUUUGAUCAAAAGAGUGUUAGAGGAGAAAAUCUUUCUCAAGUCCGAUACUUUGGAUGGAACUCACCAAGUGAUCAAAUGGAUAUGAUAAAUGAGCCAGGACGUUUGUGCACAUUGUUCUGGAAAAGAAAUCUAUCUGAAGAUAUGCUAUUGAACUUUCAGUUCUUGAGGGUUUUAAAUUGUCCAGGUCAGGCAUCAAGGAGUUAUCAGCCAAAAUCGGCAAGCUAAUAUACCUGAGGUAUCUUGAUCUCUCCGACACGCAGAUCGAAGCCUUGCCCAAUUCCAUUUGCAAGCUCUACAAUUUGCAAACAUUUAGAGUCAAUGACUAUUCUUCACUCAGGAAGCUUCCAGAAGAAAUGGCAAAUAUGAUAAGUUUGAGACACAUAUAUUGCAGCUAUCAUUACAAAUUUGAUAUGCAGAUACCACUUAAUAUGGGACAAUUGACUUGUGUUCAAACCCUAGAGUUUUUCAAGGUGGGUUCAGAGAAAGGUCGUCGAAUAGAAGAAUUAGGUCAUCUGAAAAACCUUAGAGGUGAAUUGACGAUCAGAGGUCUGCAAUCAGUCAGAACUAAAGAAGAGGCUCGAGCAGCAUAUUUACAGGAGAAACCAAAUAUCUACAAGCUGACAUAUUUGUGGUCCCAUGAUGAAUCAGAUGUAUGUUAGAUCAAUGAUGAACAUGUGUUGGAUGGUCUUCAACCGCAUCCUAACUUGAAAACCUUAGUAGUGGAGAACUAUUUGGGGACUAUAUUUCCUUCAUGGUUCAGUAAAGAAUUGCUACCGAAUUUGGUCAUGUUGAAAUUAAGUGGUUGCAAAAGGUGCAAAGAAAUUCCAUCGUUUGGCCAACUGAAGUUCCUUCGGUAUCUUGAGCUGAUAGGAUUCCUUGAAUUGGAAUGCAUCGGACCUACAUUUUAUGGUGUUGAGAUUAAUGGCAAUAUCCAAGUGUUCCUCUCAUUGAAAGAACUUGUAUUGGAGGAUAUGCGUAGCCUUAUUGAGUGGAAGGGAGAUGAAGUUGGAGAAAGACUGUUUCCCACGCUUGAGAAGUUGAGGAUUACAAAGUGUCCACUGUUAAAAAGUACUCCAACUCAAUUUGAAAUCCUGCGUGAAUUAAGAAUUGAAGGAGUUGACAGUGAAAUGCCAUUGUUGAACUUGUGGAGCAACUUGACAUCUCUUGUGAAUCUUUUUGUCAGUAACGUGAAAGAGCUCACUUGUCUACCAGAUGAGAUGCUACUGUUGAAAAGUGAUUCAUAUACUUGACCAAGUCUUCAGGAGUUUGUUAGUUAGUUUCCUUUAUCUUAGCAUGUUUAGAUAUUGUGGCAGAUUAGUAGCUAAUUAGUAGUUAGUGGUUUAGUGGACCUAGAUUUUAGUAUUUUCUGUUUUACAGUAAGCCUAUUUAUAGGCAGACUUGUUGCUUCCAUUAUAAAUUAGAAACAAAACUUUGCAGUAGCUUUUACUUCUGUUUUUUGCUAUAUUUUUCUGUUCACUUUCUCCUUUACUUCCUUUUUUCUUUCCAACAAAUCUGGUAUCAAGAGCAAGGUUCCUUUCUGGAAAGUGUGAGGAAAAAUGGCAGUAAAUGGUAUUUCAUCAUCUUCCCAACAACUCAUGCCAAUUUUUACUGGUGAAAAGUAUGAGUUUUGGAGUAUCAAAAUGAAAACUCUUUUCAAAUCACAAGGAGUUUGGGAUUUGGUUGAAGCAGGCUUCGUGGAGCAAUCAGACUCUGACGAAGAGACGGAAAAAUUGAAAGAGAUAAAAAAGAAGGAUGCGAAAGCACUAUUCCUGAUUCAACAAGCAGUCCACGAUACAAUUUUUUCAAGAAUUGCAGCAGCAACUACAUCUUCGCAGGCAUGGAAGAUUUUGAAGAAGGAAUUUCAAGGUUCAGCUAAGGUGAUUACGGUAAAAUUACAGACUUACCGUCGUGACUUUGAAACUCUUUCUAUGAAAAGUAAUGAAUCUGUUCAAACUUAUUUGUCUAGAGUUUCUUCUCUUGUUAAUCAAAUGAAGCCUUAUGGUGAAAUCAUAUCUGAAGAAACGGUUGUAGCAAAAGUUUUAAGGAGUCUUACUUCAAAGUUUGAACAUAUUGUUGUUGCGAUUGAGGAAUCUCAUGACUUAUCUGAGUAUACUUUUGAUGAACUAAUGAGUUCUUUGCAAGCUCAUGAAGAGAGGCUCCUAAGAUCGCAUGAAAAAAAUGAAGAGAAGGUAUUCCAGGUGAAGGGGGAGUCCAUUCAUCAGAAAGAUAAGCUAGAAAUCUUUGCAAAUCGUGGAAGAGGCAGAGGUGGUUUUCGAGGAAGAGGCCGUGGAAGAGGCCAAGGAAGAAAUCGAGAUAGAGGAGGAUCAAAUGAAGAGAAGCAGGCUAAGACGUUUCUGUGCAACUACUGCAGAAAAUCAGGUCAUAAAGAAGCUUAUUGUUGGCAAAAACAGAGGGAUGAGAAUAACCAAGCAAGCUUUGUAGAGGAAAAUGAUGAUGACAGUAAGUUGUUCAUGGCCCUUUAUUGUGAAAAAGAAACUCCUAACGAUUUUUGGUUCUUGGACAGUGGUUGUUCCAAUCAUAUGUCUGGAACAAGAUCAUUGUUCAAGGAGCUCGAUGAGUCAAAAAAAUCAGAUGUAAGGCUAGGAGACAACAAGAAGAUUCAGGUUGAAGGUAGAGGUACAGUUAGCAUUAUGACCAGCCAAGGUAAUGCUAAGAUUUUAGAAGAUGUGAUGUUUGUUCCUAGUCUAUCUCAUAAUUUGCUUAGCAUUGGACAACUAAUGAUUAGCGGAUACUCAAUUUUCUUUGACGAUGGUGUUUGCACUAUUAAAAAUAAGAAAAUCUGAGAAAAUCAUUGCUAAAAGUUCCAAUGGCUAACAAUAAAAUGUUUCCUCUAGACGUUUCAAUGGUUGAGAGGUGUGCUAUGGUAGCUAGUGGAGAUAAUGAAACUAGACUAUGGCAUUUACGUUAUGGGGUCAUUUAAACGUUAAUGGAUUGAAGUUAUUGAGUCAAAAGGAAAUGGUUUUUGGUUGCCAAAAGUUGAGAAUCUUGAUUUUUGUGAAAGUUGUGUUUAUGGGAAAUAAAGUAAAAAAUGUUUUCCUAUAAGCAAGUCUUGGAGAGCUUCUGUUUGUCUUGAGUUAGUACAUGCUGAUUUGUGUGGUCCUAUGAGUGUUGAGUCUUUAGGGGGAAGUCGAUACUUUCUGCUUUUUACUGAUGAUUAUAGUCGUAUGAGUUGGAUAUAUUUCUUGAAAUUUAAAUCUGAAACUUUUGACAAUUUCAAGAAAUUUAAAUCUUUUGUUGAGAGACAAAGUGGAUGUAGACUCAAAACACUUCGAACAGAUAGAGGUGGUGAGUUUAUGUCAAAAGAAUUCAGUUCCUUUUGUGAGGAAAAUGGAAUACACAGAGAACUCACAGCACCUUAUACACCAGAGCAAAAUGGUGUAGCAGAACGAAAGAACCGCACAGUUGUCGAGAUGGGCAGAAGCAUGAUGGAAGGUAGAGGUGUACUGAAGUGUUUUUGGGCUGAAGCUGUUGCCACUGCUGUCUAUUUGCUGAAUAUUUCUCCUACUAAGGCAGUGUUUAAUCAAACACCAUAUGAAGCUUGGAGAGGUAACAAGCCCAAGGUAAGCCACUUACGUGUCUUUGGUUGUAUAGCUUAUGCCUUGAUAAAUUCACAAGCUCGACGUAAGCUUGAUGAAAAAUGUGAAAAAUGUAUUUUUGUUGGAUAUAGCACACAAUCCAAGGCUUAUAAGUUAUAUAAUCCAGUGAGUGGUAAGAUUACGGUCAAUAGAAAUGUUGUGUUUAAUGAAGAUGCAAGUUGGAAUUUUAAUUCCACAAAUGAAAGUUCAAACAUUAAGUUGUUGCCUUCUGACGAUAUUAUUGAUCAAGAGUAUGUAGCUGAUCCUUUUUUGGCUGGUCCAUCGUCUACCUCAUCAAUUGCACCAACAACUUCUCCAAUAUUGGAAAAACCUUCCGCUGAGCCAAUUCCAUUAAAAAGAUCAACAAGAGAUAGGAAACAAAAUCCUAGAUAUGCUAACAAUACAUCUUGUACCUUUGCUUUACUUGUUUUAGAUCCUAUCCUCUUUGAAGAUGCUGAAAAAGAGGAUAAAUGGUGCAAGGCUAUGGAAGAAGAGUUGAUGGCUAUUCAAAAGAAUCAGACAUGGGACUUGGUAAAUUUGCCUGAAGGAAAGAAAGCUAUUGGGCUCAAAUGGGUGUUUAGAACCAACUAUCAUGCUGAUGGCAGCAUCUAAAAACAUAAGGCAAGGCUCGUCGCAAAAGGUUAUUCCCAGCAACAAGGUAUUGACUUUGAAGAAACUUUUUCUCCUGUUGCUCGCUUUGAAACUGUGAGAACUUUUUUAGCCUUGGCUGCUAAUUUAAGUUGGCCAGUUUACCAAUUCGAUGUUAAAUCUGCCUUUUUAAAUGGUGAUUUGGAAGAGAAAGUCUAUGUCUCACAACCUGAAGGUUUUGUAGUAAAUGGCAAAGAAGAUAAUGUCUAUAGGUUAAAAAAGGCACUUUAUGGCUUAAAGCAAGCGCCGCGGGCAUGGUACUUCAAGAUUGAUUCAUAUUUCCAUGAGAAUGGUUUUGAAAGGAGUAACAAUGAACCUACUCUUUAUGUAAAACGAGAAGGUAAAAAUGAUUUUUUGGUCGUAUGUCUUUACGUUGAUGAUAUGAUAUAUAUGGGUUCGAAUGAGUCUAUGAUCACUGAUUUUAAGGACUGCAUGAUGAAGAAUUUUGAGAUGUCUGAUUUGGGUCUACUACAUUAUUUUCUUGGUCUUGAGGUGAAACAGGGAAUCGAAGGCAUAUUUCUUUCACAAAGAAAAUAUGCGACAGAUCUUUUGAAAAAGUUUACUAUGGUAAAUUAUAAAGUUGCUGUUACGCCGAUGAAUAUUAAUGAAAAGUUGUGUCGUGAUGAUGGUUCUGAAAUGGCAAAUGCAACUUAUUUUAGAAGUCUGGUUGGUGGUUUGAAUUACUUGUCUCAUACAAGACCAGAUAUUGCUUUCUCUGUUGGCGUUAUAUCGAGAUUUAUGCACAAUCCAAGCAAGCUUUCACCUUGGAGCUGCAAAGAGAGUACUAAGAUAUAUUGCUGGGACAACAAAGCAAUGGAAAUUUGGUAUUCUAAGGUAACAAAUUUCACAUUAACUGGCUUUACUGAUAGUGACUACGCAGGCAGCAUUGAUGAUCGAAAGAGCACAUCUGGUUUCUUGUUUAAUCUUGGGUCUGGAGCAGUUUCAUGGAGUUCAAAGAAGCAGGAAGUGGUCGCUUUAUCAACUUCAGAGGCUGAAUAUAUUGCAGCAACCUCUGCAGCUUGUCAAGCAGUUUGGUUAAGGAGACUUGUUGCAGAUUUUAACCAGAAACCGACUGGUGCAACUGAGAUUUUUUGUGACAAUAUAUCUGCUAUUGCGAUGACGAAGAAGCCAGCAUUUCACAGCAGAACAAAGCACAUUGGUAUUCGCUAUCACUAUAUUAGAGGUCUUGUUUCUACAGGAGAAAUUACUUUGAAGUCUUGUGAUACAAAUGAGCAAGCAGCAGACAUCUUCACGAAGUCACUUCCGCAAGCAAAGCACGAGUUCUUCAAAGGUCAACUUGGAGUUUGCUGUUUUGAAUCAAGGGGGAGUGUUGAAAAGUGAUUCAUAUACUUGACCAAGUCUUCAGGAGUUUGUUAGUUAGUUUCCUUUAUCUUAGCAUGUUUAGAUAUUGUGGCAGAUUAGUAGCUAAUUAGUAGUUAGUGGUUUAGUGGACCUAGAUUUUAGUAUUUUCUGUUUUACAGUAAGCCUAUUUAUAGGCAGACUUGUUGCUUCCAUUAUCUAUCAGAAACAAAAUCCUUGCAGUAGCUUUUUACUUCUGUCUUUGCUCUAUUUUUCUGUUCACUUUCUCCUUUACUUCCUUUUUCUUUCCAACAGCUACGCAACAAUGUUUCUCUUCAACGCCUGUGUGUCUCAGAUUGCGGAGAGUUUCGUGAAUUGCCACAAAGCUUGUACAAUCUCCAUUCUCUUAAGAGAUUACAAAUAUCCAACUGCGCCAAUUUCAGUUCUUUUCCUGUUCCCUGUGGAGAGAACUACUUGACUUCCCUCCAAUUAUUUCAGUUAAGGUAUUGUGAUGGAUUGAUUAGUUUACCAAGUGGAAUGCUAGAGAAAUGCCGGUCUCUAUUGAUUUUGAUCGUCAAAAACUGUAACAACUUGGUUUCCUUGCCUUUACAUGUGUGGGAAAUGCCUUCACUUUGGCUGUUAGAUAUAUCAGAUUGUCCCAAAUUGAUUAGUGUACACGCAGGGGACCUUCACUGGCUCACUGGGUUACGGCAUUUGGAAAUUGGUCCUUUCUCAGAGAUGGUGGAUUUUGAGGCAUUCCAGUUGAUAUUUAAUGGCAUUCAGCAGCUGUUGUCCCUUCGUACAUUGAGGGUGUACGGACAUGGGCACUGGGAUUUUCUGUCCUAUCAGCUUAUGCAACUCUCUGCCCUAACAGAUAUCUAUAUAUUUGAUUUUGGAAUCGAGUCUCUUCCUCAUAGAUUUGACAACCUUACUUCUCUUGAAACAUUAUUGCUAGUGAGGUGCAAACGGCUACUGUUGACACCAAAUUUUGUCCCUCCUCUCUUCUAAUUUAUUUCGUUGAGCUUCUAAGUUGCUAAUAAGUCGAAUACUUUAUAAUUCGCUAUUAUUUUCCACUUAUCUCUAUUGCUAUCGUAAUUAUCUAUAUUACUUUUAUGAUUAUCAUCUUUGUAUUAUCCUUCUCGCUAUUUUAAAAUUAUAUAUUUUAUUUUCGACAUUACUAUUAUUACUUUAUUGUCGUCUUCUUUAAAAUAGAUUGUCGUUACUUUAUUUCAAGUUUCUUACUUACUAAUUUUUUUUUUACAUAAUAUAUAUUAUAUUUGUUAUAAGUUAGAAGCCCAAAAUGAUUUAACAAGAAGAUGGGAAAAGGCCAACAAAUCCAAAACCCAACAAUUGGAUUAUUUUGGUCCAAGAAACGUUUUAGUCAUUCAGCCCAUCUACCCAUUAAUCCAAAUAAUCAGUCAGCUCACAUAAUUUAUCAAUAAUCCAAAAAUACCCUUCACAACUUCAGCCCUAAUUCAAAAUUUCUCAGCAGCAGCCUUUCCAUUCCUCUUCUAGCGUAAAUACAUUUUUUUUCAUAGUCAUGGCAAAAUUUCUUCACCAUUUUUGUGCAAGUUCUGUACACCUACUUUAGCAUAUCAUCAAAAUGUGUAUAAGUCCAAUGCAUAGCAGAUCCGACUUCAGAAAAAGGCUCACUAUUUCGAGCAUAAAUCUGAAGUAUCAUGUGAAGGACACAUUCAUCCAAAUCUCAACGUUGGAUUUCAAACGACUCUCUUUGACCAUGAAUUCAAAAAUCAAAGAUGAAAUCCCGCCCAAAUGUAAACCGAAAUCUUAAAGCCUAUUCUAUAAAUACUUGCCUCUGUUAGCCUUUGAAGGGGGGCGUUUUUGGCUUUGAAAAGAGGAGUUUUCUGCUUACAAAAGAAAUCAAGAACAAGUUUAAGCAUUCUCAAGAACGCUCCUCUCUUAUAUUUGAAUAUCAUCUCACGAAAUAUUUUCUAUUCUAUUCUCUAUUUUUGCUUAAUUUUGUCGGAGGAACGAGAUUAGAUCUUUGAUCAACGACCAAGUUCACUGCUCCACAAAAGGUGAAAAUCUAAACUUAUUCUUAUUUAUUCGACAUCGACGAUUGUUUUGUUGUUAUAAGUCAUGCAUAAUGGAUAUAUCACUCUGUAAAUUUGAUUCAUUUCAAUUUGAACUGUUUACUGUAUAUUCCCAUAUGCUUGCAUAUCAGCCUAGAAAUCUCAACCUAUCACUGGGUGGUUAAGUUUAGUAUAAGAAAAUGCAUACAUUAGGAGUAGAUUUAUAUUUAGUUCAGUGCUACUAUCUGAAAACUCUCUCAACUAACAAAAGAUUUCCACUUUUACUAAAAGUCAUGUCUUAUUAAAUUUCACUUAACAUUCAUUAAUGUACACAUAUGUAUAAAUUAUGUCUGUUAAAAUGUAUUACUUAAGAUCCCUCUAUUGAAGUGGCUUUUCUAAUCAUGCACUAUGUCUUGUACUUUGAUACACAAGAAUAAUGCCAUACUUCUGUACAUGUUAGUCUUUUGUUUUAUAAAUCGAGUUCCGUAUAACUUGCUCUGUUUUUGUACUUUUAUUAACUAUUUGAGAAUCAUUUUUUUCUAACUUUCCCUCCUUGCUCUUUUCUCUGUUUUGCACGCACAUCGAAGCCGAAGAGUCCCCUAUGGGACUCAACGAUACCAUUAUUGCAUGGAGCUUGCAUAUCUUAUACAUGGAGUCGGCACGUCCUUAUUCUUUCCUGCUUCAUACUGUUCAGACCUCUAGUAACGGAGGAGAUCAUUUCCUUAUGUUAAAGUCGCACAUAACUACUAAUUUCCUCAUUUAUUUUAGCUUGUUUUAUUUGAUUGUAUUGAUGUGAUCAACAUUUUAUAUUUGUCUAUGUGUUAUGUGUUCCCUUAUAUGUAAUGACUAAUAGCUAGGCUUUAAUUGGAAUUCCCUUUGACCCUCAUACAGUAGCUAUGAACACUUGCUUUUAUCACAUAAAAUAGAGCCGUUAUUUCUUUAAAAAAAACAAAAAGGCUUAAGAAGCCAACUUUGUUAAGUUAGAAAUAUUCCUUAUUGAAAUUUUCUUGCAGUUACUAAUUUUGGUUUCAAAUACUUUUGUCAAAAUAACCACUAUAACGUUUUCUGCUCCAACUCCUUUUUUUGGGUUUACAUUUACAGAUUUUAUUAUAAAAUUUAUUCCUUAACUUGUAAGUUCUUGAAUUUAUUCGAAGCUUAAACUUUUCCCUCUAAAUUUAGUUAAGUUUACUAGAUCUUCUUUUACUACUUCUAAUACUUCAUUUUUUGAUAAAAUUCCUAUUUCUUAUUAAAUUCAAAUGGAUUCAAGUCAUCAUUAUUCAAUAAACUAAUUUAACUUUUUACAAAACUAUUUUACUUCCACACAUUUUCAACAAGACGAUUUUUCAUAAGAAAUGUUUUUCCGAGCAUUAAUUUUUAAGUUACUUGAGAUUUAGCAUUUAUACAUUUUUACAUCUUCAUGCUUAGCAUUUUAACUCUCCACCUUAGCCUAAUUAAUUAAUCAAGUUCGACCGGUUAACCAUUUUUAAUGGAUCUUAAAGGAUGCCUAACUCCUUCCCUUUAGAUUAGUUGAACCCUUACCUAGAAUCUUAAGUUUAGUAGACCUUAAAAUGAAGUUAACUUUAGAAAAUAACUUUAAUCAAUUUAGGUGUCCUAAUUCACCGUAAUAAUUAGGUGGCGACUUCUUAAAUUAGUCAAUUAACUUUAGAAAUCACCAAAAUGUUGUACACUAUUUUGACCCGGUUAAAAUGGGGUAUAACAGCUACGACAUGUGGACUUCUCAGCUGCCAUGUCCAAAUUACGCAUCUGGAGAUCCGUGAUUGUCCAUUAUUAGAAGCUCUGUCGGAUGGGCUCGGCAAACUUGCUUCUUUGGAAAAGUUAUGUUUAAGGAGCUGUGAAAAACUAGAACAUCUGCCAUCCAGAGAUGCCAUGCGACGCCUCACUAAAUUACGGAAUCUGGAAAUUGGAGGCUGCCCAAAGUUAAAAGAAAGUUGCACCAAUCGGAGUAUCCCAAAACUCCCAGUGGUCCAACAUUUCCCAUAUUCCAAAAAUUAAAGUAGGUGGGAGGAUGAUUCAGAACUUACGUAAGUCUCUGUUUCUCUUUCACUGUCUGAUCAGUCAAUUUUUUAAAUAUUAAUUUCCCUGUGUUCCAGAAAAGAAGUUCUGUAUGUGGUUUAACAUUUUUUUCUGCAAUUAUUUUGACAUUAAAAAAUGCAAAAUUAUUAUACAAUUGCAUUUGUGUUAUGCUUUCAGCAUUCUGCUUGUCCACUUGAACUGAAUUGUUCUUCUUCUAAUUCUUCAAGUAUGGUAUAUCUUGAUAUGAUUUAAUCAUGAGAUUUUUUGUUUUUUUUCCUUAUAGGUUACUAGUUUCAAGGCCAUGCUAGAACGUCGUUGUGGUAUUUGACUUGUUCUAACACAGAGAUAACUCUGGAAGCAUCAAUCAACUAUCUAUGAAAUUGUGUAAGUGUUAGAAUGUAAGCUGUUAGGAAGAGACUACAUUAGUUUCAGUCGAUUUGGUGUUUGUAUCAUAAUUUCCCUUAAGUUAUGAAGUAAAAGGAAUAAUAAGUUAUGUCGAGCGCCCCAUUAUACUGAAAUAACAAAAUAACUUUUUUUUCAUGACACAAUUUUACUGUUUAACAAGUUUGGUUUUUGAGUAUGCAUAUUUGCUCAUUUGCCCAAGUGAAACUAUUUUUCUAGUUUCUUUUCUGUUAUCUCUUUUGAUAAAAUAAAUAACCUUUUUUCCUGUAAUUAAGCUGUUUGGGAAGAGCCUACAUUAGUUUUAGGUGAUUUGAUGCUUUUCUCCAUAUAAUUCUUCUUCAUUUUUGUUUUGCCAGAGCUUCGAUCCAUAAUAUUGAUGCGAAAACCUAGGACUUGAAUGGAUCAACCAGUUUGAGGGCGAUCUGUCCGUUAGAUUGAAGGAUUCUCUGUUCAGCGGAAUGUCAUGAGAUCUGAUGUAGACCGAUGUCUUUUUGGACCGAAAUAAUGUCAUGAGACUUGUAUAGAUAGUAGAAGCUUCUCCAGUUUUUGUUGACUGUAGUAUUCAACAGUAUUCCUUUUUCCUUUUUAAUUUUCAGGGGACAGAUUGGAACAUUUUGUUAGAGAGGUCUAUAUAAGUUUCUUAAUAGACAUUCUCGUUACUUUCACUUUCAUUAAAACUCUCGCGAUUGAAGGACUUCAACAAAAAAAGUUACAAAAGACUGCUUUUUGUUGAAUCUUAUAGCAAAGAGUGCCCCAUUGGCUCUAAAAAUGUCCUUAGUAGCAUCUGUUCAUAUUUAUAGAUCUUGUAAUGAGCUGAUUCUCCAUUCUCAAAGAUCAAAAUGUGUGCGAAAACUGACUUUUACUGGCUCCUGUGUUUCGGAUUGAUGGUUGAAACAACGGCUUGGACUUCUUAUCUAAAUCGUAGACUGGAAAAGACUUGUAUGAGAUUUGACAGCAGAGGCCUUUCUGCACAAUGUUCAUAUGCUGUACCUGCCUUUCAUACAAACAAAAGUAAUAUAGGUUUAUGUCAUUUAAGUAACUCCUACUCUCUAGAAAAAAAAUUGAAACCUAAGUUUGAUUAAUCCAAAAAUAUAAUUUGGUUUACAAGAUCUAUCUUGUGUUUGUCUUAAUUGAUUGAUGUUCCAUGGUAGUAAAUAUUUCUUUGCAAAAUACUUCAUAUGCCAAAUAGAAAAUAAAAAAAUAAAAAAUGUGUAAGAGGAUUACAAGGUGGGAAAUUGAGCACGCUGGAGAAUUUUGUUGUGGGAAAACAUUGGAAAUCAUGGAGUUGUGCUUUUUGAAUAUUUCUCUAUCAAAACUUUGUUAAUUGAGGGGAAAGUUACCCAUUUAGUUGAGCAGAUAAAUAUAAUAGUAUCCACUAUUCAAAUAUGCAAUAAAGAUAUACGCUAUUUUGCAAGUAUAAGAAUAUACAAAGACUAGAGCAAAUAUAUAAAAUAUCUUUGAAUUUUGACUCAAGAUAGUCCUAUAUCUCUUAUAUGGACUUGUAAUAUACCACAUCAUAUCAUAUCACCAUUAUAUAUAUAUUAAAAGUGGGAAGCUCUUAACCUUAAAGUUGGAUUAUAUAUAAGUGGAAAGCUCUAAAGUAUAAAAUCAAAUUACCAUUUUACCCUUAAAACUUAUUUUUCAGAGCUAGAAAUUAAGGCUUGUUUUUGUUUUGUUAAUGUGCAGUGAACAGAAACAUCUAUGGUAAAUAAUAAUAAUAAUAUAUUUACUAUAAUAAUAUAGUUAAGUAUCUUUCAUUAUUUACCUGAUAUUAAUAUAUUCUUAUUAAACUUCAUCUAUUGAGCAAUUAUCAAUUAAGCUCAAUUAAUCUAAAGUUGAAAAGCCUGUUUUUUUCCGUUUUUUUUUACAAUAUAUAUAACAUUUAUUUUGAUGAUGAACAUUAAUUAGGAGGAAAAAGAAGAGACCAUUUUGUAAAAAUGAAUUUGGUUGCAGCUCUAUUUCAUCAUUCUUGCAACAUUCACUCAUAUGCUUUCUGAUUGUACUGAUUAUGAUUUAUGUAUUUCUUUUUCCAUUUAUAUUAUUACGAUUAAAGACUUAAGAAGGAUAUGUAUUGUGUAUGUUUUUUUUGGUAUGUUUUCUCUCUAUUAGAUUUUAAUAAAUUUAACUUUUUAUGAAUUUCUGAUUGUCGUACAUUUGUAUUUUUAUUUGGGAUCAAAUUAGCCAUUUGUGACUUUUGCAGAGUUUGCUAACUACUAACUAAAGUUCAAAAUUUAAAGUUGGUUGAUUAAAAGGAAUUAAUUUUUAACAUUAAUAUACGUCCUUCACUGGUGUUUCGUGCCACACUUUUAAAAAAUAUUUAUAAUUGUUGCAUUUUAUUGCUCAUUACAUACAUGUUUUCAUAAUUCAAAUAAAUCUAUAGAAAAUUACAUGGGACAAACGUGCAACUCGCGUGCCCAGAAACUAGUUUAUUUAUAAAAGGAACAUGAAGAUAUGUGUGAUUCAUCAAUGCGACGCUUUAGGAUGUUUCGAUAUCUUGUAUAUGAAUGAUGGUUUGCUCAUUUGGUAAAAUUACAUAAGAAUUGGAGAAAUUUGAUGCUUUUCACAACUGUUAGAUUUUUCAUGUUUACGAGGAAAAAUUAUAAUUUAAAAAAUCAAAAUUGCAUGUCCAUUUAGUCAAAUCUAUUUAGGGAUAUGCCAUCGCCGAGCUCAAAAUUGUAGUGAACCUGUGUUAUGUAUUAAUUGUAACAUUUUUUUUUACGUUCCUCUCCUAUUUGGGUUAUUUCAAUGUGUGACACGACAAAAAUGCUUGGUAGCCUAAGACCAUCUCCAACCCAUCUCUAUUUUACUCUCCAUUCUCUAUAUUUGGAGAGUAAAAUAGAGAAUGGGUUCUCCAACCACUCUCUAUUUCACUCUCUAUUCUUCAAUUAUAGAGAGGUGAAUAGUAGUUCUCCAAAUUUGGAGAACUACUAUUCACCUCUCUAUNNNNNNNNNNNNNNNNNNNNNNNNNNNNNNNNNNNNCCUCUCUAUUUUACUUUUUGAUUAUUAUAAUAUUAUUUCUAUUAUAUUACUAUCAUUUGUAAUUAUUUUCUAAUGUAACAUAACAUUUAAAAAUAUAUUAUCAACAAGUUACUACUUCCGCCAAAUUAAUAAUUUUUCUAUUUUAUUUUUUUAAAAGAAAUGGUCACUUUAAAUAUGUAAUUUAAAGUUAUUUUAAUAUUAUUUAUAUUAUAUAAGAUUAUUAAUUAUGUCUCUAAUAUUUGUAAUUAUUUUCUAAGUAAUAUAACAUCUAAAACAUUAUUGAUAAGUAUACUACUUCCAUCCCGAAUUAACAAUUUUUCUAAUUUAAUUUUUAAUUUUUUUUUUGUCAUUUAAAUAUGUAAUUUGGAUUAGAAUUAUUUUUCAUUAUGAAGUAUGCACAAAAAUUACAUGAUAAUUCAAACAAUCUACUUUUAUGUUAUAAUGAUAAAUUAUUAAACUACACUUUUUAAAGAGCAUGCAAAUAUUUGAUGCAAUAGUUCAAAAUGGAAUAGGGGAAGUAAAUUAGUACACGAAAUAAUUGGACACAAGAUGAAAUUGUUAAUUUAAAUAAGAUUUAGCUACACAUAAAAAAUAAGGAUAAAAAAUGCUUAUUUUGAACUCCGUAAUACAUUAAUAGAACAUUCAUGAGUAGGGGUGUGCAAACACCGAAUCAACCGAUAAAAGUGUUAUGGUUUAUUGUUAUUGGGUUAUUGGGUUAACGGUUUUUUAAUGGUUUUAUAAAAAAAAUUAUUGGGUUAUCGGUUCGGUAUUGGUUUUUAAUAUUGGGUUAUUGGGUAAACCGAUAACCCAUUAAGACUAGUAAUUUACUACUUUGUACAUAAAUAUUAUAUAUUAAUCUUAAUACCUUAGUAGUUACUACUAUCUUUGUCCUUUAGCCUUCAAUUCACACUUCACAAUGGAUUUGAGUUCACAAUUUCACAUUAUAAAAANNNNNNNNNNNNNNNNNNNNNNNNNNNNNNNNNNNNNNNNNNNNNNNNNNNNNNNNNNNNNNNNNNNNNNNNNNNNNNNNNNNNNNNNNNNNNNNNNNNNNNNNNNNNNNNNNNNNNNNNNNNNNNNNNNNNNNNNNNNNNNNNNNNNNNNNNNNAUAAAUUUUACGAUAAUACAAUAUUUAUGAUGCAAUUAUAUUUCAUCAAUGAGUUCAUUUUUAUUUGAAUUGUUCGUUAAUAUGUAUUAUAUAUAAUAUGUAUUGCAAUUUAUGUUAUUUAGAAAUUUAGAAUAAAAUAUAAUUUUAUAUUAAUGAAAAAUUUGAAAAAAAAAAAUUGUAUUACGUAAAAAUUAUAGAGUGAUUAUUUGCAAAAAGAAGAAAUGAUUUAUAUUAUGAAAUAAGAAAAUAAGAAUGAAAUAUAAAUAAUAAUAUAAUAUUGAGGAGAGAGAAAAAGAUUCCUUUUUAGAGAGUAAAAUAGAGAAUUGGAUUGGAGUUGAUUGUCUGAAAAAAUAGAGAACUCUAUAUUUGGAGAGUAAAAUAGAGGAUUGGGUUGGAGAUGCUCUAAAUGGUUGUUAAUCUUUUUCUUUGGCCUACUGUCAUCGGUCCGCCCUCCAUCAUUAAUGUCACACAUAUGAUAUGGAUUUCUUUUUGUUUUUAAAUAAAUGACUACAUCAUAGGUCUUUUUUUAAUAUAUUUUAUGGAAUAAGGCAUCAAAGACUAGAAUAAAGCUGAUGUCGUUUUUACUAAAGCAUCCAAUAGGAAUGAAGCACUAUCAUUAAUUAAUAAAGCACUAAUUGUUGUUUACCUACCAAUACCAUUAAUUAAUAAAUUAAUAAUGCAUUCAGAACUCAUAAUAUACACAUUCCAGUCUGUUUGUGCCAUUGCCAACUAUAAUUAUUGUUUGAUCUCCUCACCCAUCUCUAUGUACUAGACAACACCUUGUGCCAUAUAGUAUUUUGAUUUACAUCAAUCAGUUAACAAUCGAUUGAUCUACCAUUGAGCUAUUGAGAAAUAACAAGAGAUUCGAUAAGUUAAUAUUGAGGUAAGUUCCAUUGAUUCAUAAUUUAGUUUCAUACUUAAAGGAAAUCUUUAUCCUCUGAAUCUAUAUACUCCCCCUUCAUCAUUUGGUGAUUGUUUUUUCCUUUUAAUUUCCUAUAAUCCCUUCAUCUAACACCUGAAAAAUACAAUGAAGGAUACACAAACACAAGUCAUAAAGAAUAAAGCUAACAAAUAUUUUCAGUUCCACCAAGUCUACUACAGUCAAAUAAACGAAAGAAGGAAUUAAUGAAAAAGGAGAAAUAAAUUAUACAAGACACUAGUACAGUAGAUUGUACUAAUAUAUAAAACUUUUAGCUUUUGAAGUUUAGCUAGACCUAGAUAUUAUAUUUUUAUAAGGCAUCAUAGCCAGAUCUAUUUUCGUUUGCACUCCUGAUCCAUGCUCCAAUUGUGAAAAAGUUAGAUGAUUUUUUAAAAUUAUCAUAGAUUAGUCUCUAGAAUAGUUUAGUGUAGUAUCAUCAUAUCAUAUUAUCAUGUAUUAUAUCAUGUAGGCAUAAUACAUAAAUAUGCCCUUUAACAAUUGGCCUCAGCUCAUAUUUAUGUCUUUCAACUUUGAGUGUGCACAAGUAGACACUUAAACUUGCAUAAAAUUGAAUAAGUAAACACAUGCAUCCUACUGGCAAUUUAUGUCCUAUGUGGUGUCCUACGUGUAUUAUGCCACAUAAGACUCAUGUGUCUACUUAUUCAACUUUAUACAAGUUCAAGUGUCUACUUGUGCACACUCAAAGUUGGAGGGCAUAAAUGUAAAAUGAUGCCAAAUUAAGGGGCACAUUAUUAUUAUUAUUAUUAUUAAAAGUGGGAAGCUCCAAAGUGUAAAGUUGAAAUACCAUUUUACCCCUUUACUAAAUAUUUUUGGGAAAAUGCAUAAAUACCAACCAGCCUAUGCCCAAAAUCUCUGAGACACACCUAACCUUUACUAAGGUCCUAUUACCCCCCCCCCCCCAAACUUAUUUUAUAUAUAAUUUUCUACCCUUUUUCGACCUACGUGGCACUAUCUUGUGGGCCCAGUGCGUGUUGACAAUUUUUUCAAGGAUAGUGUCACGUAGGCUGAAAAGGAGUAGAAAACUAUAUAUAAAAUAAGUUCGGGGGGAGGGGGGUAGUAGGACCUUUGUAAAUGUUAGGUGUGUCUCAGGGAUUUUGGGCAUAGGUUGGGGGUACUUAUGCAUUUUCCCAAUAUUUUUUUAGAAAUCAUAUAUUAUAUAUUAUUAGUUAUUAUGUAUUAAAUAUUAUGUUAUCAUUUAUCAUUAUCAUUCAUUCAUAUUCAAUCAUCCUUAUCUAUAAAUGUUAAUUUAUUUUUUGUUAGAAUAAAGAAGACAAAUGAAGAGUUGUGGAAAUGAGUAGUUAUGAAAAGCUACAACAAAUAAGUAUAAUAAAAAGGUCUUUCGCGAGCUUGCAAUAAUGGGAUGUUAGAAAUUUACUUUUUUUAUGAAAUAGUAAAAUGCCUGUAGAAUUUGAAAAGUUAAUAUUUCAUUAAAAACAUAAUAAAAGAUUGCAUUCAUCUAUUUAAACAAUCAAUCCUUACUAUUAAAACAUAAAGAAUGUGAAGAGUUACAUUGAAUUAAAAAAAAGACCAUAAUCAUCUAUAAAAUCAAAUAUAUACGGAUCACUUUUAUAGAAAAAAAGGAGAGAAAAAAUCAUGAAUUUUAUGGAUUAAUGUUGGAGAAGAGAAUUUUGUUCUCAUUUUUUUUCUUGGAAAAAUCUGAUUCAUAUGUCCAUCUCAAAUUUGUUUGCUCUAAUAUAUUGCCAUGCAUAUUUUUAAUUUUGUUUGCUAACUAAUUUUUAUUUGUUUCUCCACAUUACAGAUUUAACUUUGUGCACUCUUCACUUCUCAAUCACUAAUAUCAGGUACUCAUUUUCUAACAAUUAUUAUUUUACAAAAAUAUAAUAUAAUUUAUAGGAAAAUGUAAUCUAUGUCUAAGAUUUAUGAGAAGUAUAAAGAUAUUAACGUUAUAUAUAUAUAUAAAUGAUUAUUAGUCCUUUGAACUUUUUAAUUUUUUUUUUUGAAUAUUUACACAUGGUGAUAGAUUCUUUUAUAUUUAUUACAUUAUAAUUAUAUUUGCAAAAGUUUACUAAAAUUAUUCUGUUAAAUUCACAUAUAUUAUAAUUUAUAAUCUUGAAUUAAACAUAGGAUGCAUGUAAGCAUUUGAAAACAUAAUGAUUAUGUUGUUCAUGUUCACAUUCAGACUAUUUGUUGUUGAAAUAUCAAAAGACAAAAAUAUGUCAUAUAUCAUAAAAAUUGCACAAGAAAAAGGAAGGACAAAUCAAUUCAAUUUAUUAUAUAUAGUUACUUUACUUUUAAAUUUUUAAUUAAUCAUUAUAUACAUGUUUAAUAUUAUCUAUAUUAAUUUAAAGGUUAGAUAGGUUGACAUUGAACAAAGGUGCAACACACGUUUUCAUAGACUAGUAUUACUAAAAGUGAGAAGCUCUAGAUACAAAAUUGAAUUUUCAUUUUACCCUUACACGAAAUAAAAAUAUUAUAAAAUAUUCAAUUUAUAAAAUAUUUAUUAAUCAAAAUAUUUUAAAGCCUUUUCACGUCAUAGAUUUAUUGCAACCUAAAGAGUGACGUGUUUAGUAAGUAAUACAUUGAUCCGUUAUUAAUUUAAUUAGUACGCAAUUAAUAAAUUUUUAAAGAAAUUAGAUAGCAAAGUCAUACUAUAAUAAUAUAAUAAUAAAAGUGGGAAGCUUCAAAUACAAAGUUGGAUUACCAUUUUACCCCUAGACUAAAUUAAAAUAUUAUAAAUAUUCAAUUAAUUAAAUGUUUAUUAAUCAAAAUAUUUUAAAGUCUUUUCACCUCCUAAAUUUAUUGCAAGCUAAAGAGUAAUGUGCAAACUGGUAAAUAUUUUUUUUUGUCAUAUUAAUAUUGCUUAAUGAAUCAGCCACAAUAAUCCCACUCCCACUCUGAGUGUAUAUAUAUAUAUAUAUAUAUAACUAAAGUAUAUAGAAGACAAGAGCAUUUUGAAUAUAAAAUGCCAUGUUAUUCUUAAAAAUUAUACAAUAUUUACUGCAUAAACAUUUUAGAACUAAAAGUAUAUUAGAAGACAAGAGCAUUUUGAAUAUAAAAUGCCAUGUUAUUCUUAAAAAUUAUACAAUAUUUACUGCAUAAACAUUUUGAACUAAAAGUAUAUAGAAGACAAGAGCAUUUUGAAUAUAAAAAUGCCAUGUUAUUCUUAAAAAAUUAUACAAUAUUUACUGCAUAAACAUUUUGAACUAAAAGUAUAUAGAAGACAAGAGCAUUUUGAAUAUAAAAAUGCCAUGUUAUUCUUAAAAAAUUAUACAAUAUUUACUGCAUAAACAUUUUCAAUAUUACAAUUUACAAUCUUAAAUAUAUUAGUGGUUCCAAUGUAUUAUAAGUAUUUAAUUAGUUUUUUGAAAAGAAAAAUUGUCAUCAAUAUUUUUUCUAAUAAAAACGAUAGUAAAAUGAUAAUAAAAAUCACACUUUAUAAUAAAAUAUUAUUAUUUUUAUCAAAUAAUAUAGUAACUUAUUUAAAUUGUCUUAAUUAACAAUACAAUAUCAUAUGCACCAAUGGUUAUUUUUACAUAAUGUCAAACAAAUAAAUUCGAAUUAAACACUUAAUUUGAUGAUAUUCUUUUCACAUUUAGAGUAGUAUAAACAUGAAAAAUAAAAUUAAAUUAUAUCUUAUUUUUAAGAUAAUAAAUAUUAUUUUUAAUUAUUUAUUUUUAAUACAUAUGAAAAAUAAAUUAACACAAAGAAAUAGAUAAUCUUUUUAUUUCACUUUAUUUGAAAAUCCGCAUUUGAUUAUGAAAAUUACAAAUAUAACUUAAAGUUGUAUUUGAAAUUUGAAAAACAUUCAAAACCUUGUUAAUACUUUAAGGGGCCGUUUGGUUACCGUAUAAGAUGCAUUUUUUUCUCAUAUAUAAAAAGUUGUAUCUGUUUUACUAUGUUUGGUAGAAAUUUUGUAUUAGGUAGAAAAACCAACAUGACUUACCAUGUUUGGUUGAUACGUUUCUCAAAAUUGUAUAAAAGUUAUUCUUGUAUUAAUUCUAUACAGUGUAUUGUUACAUUUUUUGUAAUCCUACAUAAUUGAUACCUACAUAACUUAUGAGGGAAUCUAUGUAUAAAUUAUACAUGAUAAAAGAUGGAAUAAGUUAUGAGGGUAUUAGUUAUACAUGUAUUAAAAAAACUACACAUUUAUCCCUAUUACCUUUUUAUAUUGAAAACUCUAGAUAAAACUUUACAUAACUAUUCUAUUUUCCUAGCUAUUUUUGUUUCUUAUUUCUUUUGUAUACGAACAAUUUUUUAUUUGUUUUCAUUUGAAAUCAAAAUAUAAAUAUUUUAUUAAUAUUAUGAAUCGGAAUGUAUAAUUUUGACAACGCAUAUGCUAAUCAUAUAUUAUCACCAUAUAUUACUAAAUAUAUUCCACAUAUUUAAUUAUUAUGUAUUGUUUUUUUAUUUGGAAUAUAAAUUUAUAUAUAACUCAUAUAUUUGGUAUACUAAAAAUGUACAAAUAAUACAUGCAGCAUCUUGAUAGAAAUUUACAUUAUAUAAAAUAGGAUUUUAUAAUGUACUUGAAAUAUAUUUGUGGUAUUUUAUUUUUAUAAGCUUUAAACAUUAAAAAAAAAUAGAGAGAGAAAAAAUAAAUAGAAUUCCCACUUAAGUAUAGAGAAGAUUUUUUGGAAGUUUUUUUUUUUUUUUUUUUUUUGGGAAAUUAUACGAUUUGCUUGCUUAUUUAUUUGUAAAUAAUAUAUUCAAUAAUUAAUAAUUUAUGUAUUGUAAUCUCUACAUAAUUAAGUAAUACCUACAUAACUAAUAUUUGCAUAACUAACACCAACAUAAUUAAUACCACAUAACUAAAUCCUGCAUAACUAAAUCAUGCAUUACUAAAAACUGCGUAACUCUAACCAAUAACCAAACAGCCCCUAACUAUAUUAUCCUUUUUAAAAUUUUAUCACAAAUUCUUUAUUCUUAUAAAAAUGACCCCAUUUGAAUUAUAUUUCAUAUUAGUUUAUUUAUUUAAAAAAAAAAACACAUUCAAAUAAUCAAAUAUAAUUUGCAAAAUCAAUAGCUUGACACAAGUUCAACUUCAAAAAAUUUAAAUAAAGUGAUUUUUUUUUUGUUAUAGUAUGUGGUAGUUCUUAUAUGAGAUCUAAUCUAUGACAUUAUACAACUAUCUAUUUUGAGAUAUUACUUUUUUUUAGUGCAAUUUGGUUGUACGUCUCAGGUAUAUUAGUCAAGUAAUUUUUAGAAACUGAGGAAUAUAAACCAUAUUUAGAAAAACAUAAUAUAUAAAUAUAUCUUUUAACUUGGCUUCGUCUGACAUCUAUGACAUUCAACUUAGGGAGUGCACAAGUAAGCACUUAAAAUUUUAUAAAGUUGAAGAAGUAGACACACGCGUCCUACGGGGAAUAACACACGUGGGAGCCACAUAAAAUAUCGCAUAGGACGUGAAUUAUAUUGUCACGUAGGACACAAGUGUCAACUUGUUCAAUUCUAUACAAGUUUAUGUGUCUACUUAUGGAUAUCUAAAAUUGAAGGACAUGUUAGAUGAAACAAAUUAAAUGACAUAUUUAUAUAUUAUGCCUUUAGAAAAAGUAUAUUUAAAUUCUAAAUAUUUUUUUGCAUAAAAUUUAACCAAACAUGACUUCAACUAUAAAUUUUUUAAAUAAAAUAAACAGUAUUUUUUCAUGAUCAAACCACACUAAGAAAGGAAAUGAUUAAAUGCCCUCAAAUUUGAAUUUUUGGUAUGAAAAAAUCUCAUUAAAAACUAUACAUUCAAAAAUAAAAAAGAAUUUUUUUUAAAAUGUAUCAGCUUGAAUGUACAUGGUUUUGAAGUAAAUCAAUAAAUGGGGUCCAUGUAACUUUGCAAUGAUUUCUUUUACUCCUCCCAAUGUAUUGGUACACGUGUGCCCAUUAAAAUCCACAACUAUUGACUUAGUGAUGGAUUCAUUGGGAAUUACAUAAAUUUUGGUUGGUUUUUCUGAAAAUUUUAAUACUUUAUGCACAAUGUACACUUAAACUAAGCUUGAAAUAUUUUUUGUUUGACAAAACUACCCUUGGUCGUCCAGGGCUUCACAUUUCUAUAUAAUAGAUAGAAAAAUAUAUACAUGUCAUGCUUCUUUUUUCCUUCCACAUAUUCCUCAUUUGCAUGUUAAUUUUUUUAGUUAUUAUUGAAGAUUUUUGUUUGUGCUUAUGAGUUUCAUGUUAUAUUCUUCUUUUCGGAAAAGGGCCUAAAAUACCCUCAAACUAUUGGAAAUGGUAUAAAAUUACCCUCCAUCCACCUAUUGGCUUCCAAAUUAUUUUCUUUUCCUAGUUAAGUUUGAUACUAAAAAUAAAAUUCAUAAAAUAAAUUCAUUUUCUCAUUAAGUUGUAUUAAUUUAAUAGGAUAGUGACUUAAAAUUUUAUUUUUUAGAGGUCAAUCGAAAAACAUGUAAGAAAUUGAAUUAUUUUUUAUUGAACCAUUUUCAUUUACUAUCUUGAAUAUUUUAGUAGCUUUAAAUAAAUUAUCUUAAUAAAUAACGUUCUAUCACUCUUAUAACAUGUAAAAAUUAAAAUUGAAUUUAAACCCACAUAAAAUCACAUAUACCUGCAACCCGUCCCGCAUUAGUUUUAAAAAAACCCACUUCAAUCCGCCCCGCACAACCUUAAACUGGCCAUGCAUAGCUUUAAACCCACUCCACCCCACAUGCGUCCCGCCCCAUUGUCAUCCCUAUUGAUAUCUAUCUAUUGGCUCUCAAAUACCCUUCCAUCCACCUUUGAGUCCAAUAUUGACCACUUUUAUAGUGGAUUAUCAUUUAAAAAUAAUUUUUUUAAAUGAGUGGCGACCAUCUAUUGGUUAUAAUUUAAUAACUUAAAUUAAUUUACAAACUCACUCAUUACUAAUUAUACCCGACCCAAAUUGACUACACUCAACUCAAGUUAACUAUACCCGCCCCAAAUUACAUUUACCCCACCGAUUUAAACAAAUACACCCUUCAUUCCCAACAAUUCAUGUCCUCUUCCAACCUUACAUUCCCAAUAUAUUUGCUUACAAUCUCGAAAAACUCUACCCAAGUACACUCAUGUAUCACCACAAAAAAUCAUGAGUGUUUUGGUGAUUUUUUUAUGGUGAUACAUGUGUGUAUUUAGGUAGUGUUUUUCGAGAUUGUAGGCGGAUAUAUUCGGGAAGAAGAUUGGAAGAUGAAGUGAAAUGUUGAGAAUGAACGGUGUAUUUGUUUUAAUCGGUGGGGUAAAUGUAAUUUGGGACGAGUGUAAUUAAUUAAUUUGGGUCGGGUGUAAUUAAUAAUGGGUGAGUUUGUAAAUUAAUUUAAGUAAUUUAACUGUAUCCAAUAGAUAAUCGUGUCGUUUUGAAGUUUUUAUUUAAAUGAUAAUCCGUAAUAAAAGUAGUUGAUAUUGGAUCCAAAGAUGGAUGACAUGGGUAUUUGGGAGCCAAUAAAUGGAUGAAGGGUAGUUUUGUACCAUUUUCAAUAGUUCAAGGGUAUUUUAGGCCCUUUUCCGUUUUCUUUUUUAUACUCUAUAAUAAUUAUUAUACAAUCAAUUUUUUUAGUGGAAGAAGACUUUGGUGUAGAGGAAGAAGGAGCAAAAAUAACAAUGGCCGAUCCAGUAAUUGGUGCUACUGUUCAAGUUGUGCUUGAGAAGCUGCUUUCUCUCACUAUUGCGGAGGCCAAAACUUUAAGGAACUGCAAGAAAAAUCUCAGAAUGCUCACAAAAUAUGUAUCCAUCAUCCAAGCUUUCAUUCAUGAUGCUGAAAGACGACAAGUCGAAGAUCAGGCUGUGGAAGAAUGGCUUAAGAUGCUUGAGAGAAUUGCUGAAGAUGCUGAAAAUGUGUUUGACAAAUUCACAUAUGAAUCUCUCAAAGCACAAGUGAUGAAAAACCGAGCCAAACUGAUGGAAAAAGUCCGUAGCUUCUUUUCUAAUAAUGUUUUCAAUUACAAAAUGUCUCGAAAAAUCAACAACAUCAAUGAAGAGUUGAGGGCUAUCAAUCAGUUAGCCAAUGACCUCGGUCUCCAAGCACUGACUGUUCCUUCUCACAAAAUACUACAAAUCCGAGAAACAGACUCCGUAGUAGUUGCUUCGGAUGUUGUUGGUAGAGACAAAGAUGUUGCUGAAAUAAAGGAGAAGAUUUUGAAUAUCAGAGAGGAAGUUGUUCUGUGCACCAUUCCCAUAGUGGGUAUGGGGGGGUUAGGGAAAACUACAGUGACCAAGAGAAUUUUCAAUGAUGAUCACAUCAAGCAGCACUUCGAAAAGAGAGCUUGGUUGUGCCUACCUGAAAUGUCAGAAAUUAAGAGCUUUCUUGAACUGAUCCUCGAAUCAUUGACACAGAGGAAAGUUGAGGUCCAGAGCAGAGAUAUAAUAGUCAAGAGACUACAAGAUGAAUUAGGAGGAAAAAAGUAUUUGCUGGUCCUGGAUGAUUUAUGGCGUGUUGACUCUACAUUGUGGCACGAUUUCGUGGACACCUUGAGGGGAAUAAAUACAUCCAGAGGAAACUGCAUUCUCGUGACUACUCGUAUGAAGCAGGUUGCCUCCAUAGUAGCAGCAGAUCUUCAUAUGUUGGGGAAAUUAACAGAUGAUCAUUGUUGGUCCAUUUUCAAACAUAAAGCAUUUGUUGAUGGGGAAGUUCCAAAAGAAAUGGUGAGCAUGGAAAAGAGGAUUGUUGAAAUAUGUCAAGGUCUACCGUUGGCUGCAAGUGUAUUGGGAGGCCUUUUAUGCAACAAGAAAAGACAUGAAUGGCAGGCAAUUCUUGAUGGCAAUCCCCUUGUAGGUGAAGAUGAUAAUGGGGAAAAUAGGACAAUGAAAAUCCUAAAACUCAGCUAUGAUUAUCUACCAUCCCCACAUCUGAAGAAAUGUUUUGCUUACUUUGCAAUGUUUCCAAAAGAUUUUAAGUUUAAAAAGGACCAACUAAUCCAACUCUGGAUGGCAGAAGGCUUUCUUCGUCCAUGUCAAGAGACCCCUGUGAUGGAAGACGUUGGGAACAAGUUUUUCCAACUCUUGUUGCAAUAUUCCUUGCUGCAAGAUGUUGAGCUAGAUGACCUCAAUAUUAUAAGACGUUGUAAGAUGCAUGAUCUUGUGCAUGAUUUGGCUGGAGAUGUCUUAAAAUCUAAACUAUUUGAUCCGAAGUGCGUUGUAGGAGAAAAACUUUCUCAAGUUCGAUACUUUGGAUGGGACUCACCAAGUGAUCAAAUAGAUAAGAUAUAUGAGCCAGGACAUUUGUGCACAUUGUUCUGGAAAACAAAUAUAUCUGAAGAUAUGCUGUUGAACUUUCAGUUCUUGAGGGUUUUAAAUUUGUCCAGGUCAGGCAUCAAGAAGGUGUCAGCCAAAAUCGGCAAGCUUAUAUACUUGAGAUAUCUUGAUCUCUCCGACACCAUGAUCAAAGUCUUACCCAAUUCCAUUUGCAAGCUCUACAAUUUACAGACAUUUAGUGUCCAUAAUUGUUCUUCACUCAUGAAGCUUCCAAAAGGAAUGGCAAAUAUGAUAAGUUUGAGACACAUAUGUUGCGGCCAUCAUUACCAAUCAGCUUUUUGUUUUGGUGGUUGCGGAUCAAGGUACCAAGGUAGUGAUCAGUUUCAGAUGCCACUUAAUAUGGGGCAAUUGACUAGUCUUCAAACACUAGAGUUUUUCAACGUAGGUUUAGAGAAAGGUCGUCAAAUAAAAGAAUUAGGUCGUUUGAAAAACCUUAGAGGUGCAUUGAUAAUCGGCUGUCUCCAAUUAGUCGGAAAUAAAGAAGACGCUCGAACAGCAUAUUUACAGGAGAAACCAAAUAUCUACAGGCUGGCAUAUUUGUGGUCCCAUGAUGAAUCAGAAGGCAGUGAGAUCAAUGAUGAACAUGUGUUGGAUGGUCUUCAACCGCAUCCUAACUUGAAAACCUUAGUAGUUGAGAACUAUUUGGGGACUAUAUUACCUUCAUGGUUCAGUGAAGAAUUGCUGCCAAAUUUGGUCAAGUUGAAAUUAAGUGAUUGCAAAAGGUGCAAAGAAAUUCCAUCCCUUGGACAACUGAAGUUCCUUCGGAAUCUUGAACUGACAGGAUUCCUUGAAUUGGAAUGCAUCGGACCUACAUUUUACGGUGUUGAUGUUAAUGAUAAUAGAUCAAGCAGCAAUAAUGGCAAUAUCCAAGUGUUCCCGUCAUUGAAAGAACUACUGUUGAAGGAUAUGCGUAGCCUUAUUGAGUGGAAGGGAGAUGAAGUUGGAGUAAGAAUGUUUCCUGGGCUUGAGAAGUUGACGAUUACAGACUGUUCACUGUUAAAAAGUACUCCUACUCAAUUUGAAAUCCUGCGUGAAUUAAGAAUUGAAGGAGUUGACAGUGAAAUGCCAUUGUUGAACUUGUGCAGCAACUUGACAUCUCUUGUGAAGCUUGAUGUUUCUAAAGUGAAAGAGCUCACUUGUCUUCCAGAUGAGAUGCUACGCACUAACGAUUCUCUUCAACACCUGUGGGUCACAAACUGCGGAAAGUUUCAUGAAUUGCCACAAAGCUUGUACAAUCUCCAUUCUCUUAAGAGAUUACAAAUACGCAGCUGCAAAAAUUUCAGUUCUUUUCCUGUUCCCAAUGGAGAGAAUUAUUUGACUUCCCUCCAAUGUCUUCAGUUAGUUUCUUGUGAUGGAUUGACCAGUUUACCAAGUGGAAUGCUAGACAAUUGCCGGUCUCUACAAAAUUUGAGGGUCAGCUACUGUAACAACGUAGUUUCCUUGCCUUUACAUGUGUGGGAAAUGCCUUCACUUUCAGAUUUGAAUAUAUCACGUUGUCCCAAAUUGAUUAGUGUACCCACAGGGGGCCUACACCGCCUCACCGGAUUAGGGAGAUUGGGAAUUGGUCCUUUCUCAGAGAUGGUGGAUUUUGAGGCAUUCCAAUUGAUUUUUAAUGACAUUCAGCAGCUGUUGUCCCUUCCUACAUUGUUUGUGUACGGACGUUUGCACUGGGAUUCUCUGCCCAAUCAGCUUAUGCAACUCUCUGCCCUAAAAGAGAUCUAUAUAUUUGAUUUUGGAAUCGAGGUUCUUCCGCAUAGUCUUUGCAAUCUUACUUCUCUUGAAAGAUUACAUCUAGAGAUGUGCAAUCGGCUACAACAUGUGGACUUCUUAGAUUCCAUCCCAAAAUUACGGGAUCUCUGGAUCCAAGAUUGUCCAUUGUUAGAAGUUCUGUCGGAUGGGCUCGGCAACCUUGGCUCUUUGGAAAAAGUAAGUUUGAUGGUGUGCAAGAAACUAGAGCGUCUGCCAUCCAGAGAUGUCAUGCAACGCCUCACCAAAUUAAGGAUCCUGGAUAUUUAUGACUGCCCACAGUUAGAAGAAAGUUGCACCAAUAGGAGAAGCCCAAACUCCCAGUGGUCCAACAUUUCCCAUAUUCCAAAAAUUAUAGUAGGUCUGUGGGUAAUUCAGGAGUCAGGACAGUAAGUCUCUGUUACUCUUUCAGUUUCUGAGUUUUAAUACUACUUUUUUUACUGCUAUCAAUUACAUCUGUGCUAUGCUUCCAGCAUUUUGCUUGUCAACUUGAACCGAAUUGUUCUUCUUCUAAUUCUUCAAGUAUGUCAUAUCUCCAUAUGAUUUAAUCAUGAAUGAAAAAUUAUGGAUUUUUUCCUUAUAGGUUACUAGCUCCAAGGUAACGUUGCUGUGGUAAAUCAAGCCAAAUCCUAUGAGCAGCAGGCAAUUACUUUAGGUAAAUUUUCAUUUAGGUAAUCUACUAGUUUUUUGUCUUUCUCUUUGUUGGGGACCAAUUUUUGGAGUUCUAUGCUGAUGAAUACAACAUUACCUUCCUAAAAAAGAUGUUUUAAUCAUGAAAAUUUAUGUUUCUGCUCAGAGGUUACUAGGUACAAGGUCAUGGUAGAACGUGGUUGUGGUAUAUCAAGUCAAAAUCCAUGAACAGCAAUCGCCUUAGGUAUUUUUAUUUAGUUGUUAUAGGAAUGCUAUAACAAGUUUGUCAAGUUCCUUUUUUCUCAUGAUACUACUUUACUGUUUAACAGGAUUUGUUAUGUUUCAUAGAGGAAUCACCACUGUUAUUUUGAAGAACACAAUCUUCAGCUAUAGACUCAUUACGGAGCACUUUUUCACAAGUAUUUGGGUACUGAACAACCUUUUCGGGAACUGAAGUCUACAUAUGAAACAUCAAAAAACUCAAAGUGUAUAGGGUCCUCAAUGAGAAGCUACACUGGUCUAUCCUCUGUCUUUGCAUGGCCGUGUUUGUCUUUUUAUUAUCCAUGUAAGUUUCUGCAAUGUUAUUUGAUGAAUAAAUUCUGAUAUCUACUCUCAUUGGGACAUUGGUAUUUAACUUUCUAUGUAAUUGUGGAACUAUUAGAAUGUAAGCUGUUUUAUCCCUUUUGCCAGAGCUUCAUUCUUCAUAA
rnacentral:lncRNA from 1 species